CCGAUUCAUCUGCAUUAUUAUAAUAUAAAAUAUAUAAUUAACCAUCAUGCAUUUGUUAAAGUAACUAGCUAUAAACAAUAGAAAUUAAACAAUGAACAACACANNNNNNNNNNNNNNNNNNNNNNNNNNNNNNNNNNNNNNNNNNNNNNNNNNNNNNNNNNNNNNNNNNNNNNNNNNNNNNNNNNNNNNNNNNNNNNNNNNNNNNNNNNNNNNNNNNNNNNNNNNNNNNNNNNNNNNNNNNNNNNNNNNNNNNNNNNNNNNNNNNNNNNNNNNNNNNNNNNNNNNNNNNNNNNNNNNNNNNNNNNNNNNNNNNNNNNNNNNNNNNNNNNNNNNNNNNNNNNNNNNNNNNNNNNNNNNNNNNNNNNNNNNNNNNNNNNNNNNNNNNNNNNNNNNNNNNNNNNNNNNNNNNNNNNNNNNNNNNNNNNNNNNNNNNNNNNNNNNNNNNNNNNNNNNNNNNNNNNNNNNNNNNNNNNNNNNNNNNNNNNNNNNNNNNNNNNNNNNNNNNNNNNNNNNNNNNNNNNNNNNNNNNNNNNNNNNNNNNNNNNNUUCCUACAGUUUCGCGACUAAUGGGGCUGGACGGAAGUCUCUUUUUCUACCAGUGCUUGUGUAUCCUCUCGCAGGGAAUGGAGCUUUUUUUUUUCUUUUUUUUUUUGCAGGAAGAUAAGUGAGUUUUGUUUAGGAGUGAUAAAGAGUUAUUCUGAGCAGCAUAAAGAACCUUGUCGUUGAACUUGCCGUCACUUGCAGCCUGACCGUCCCCUUACAUGUGUAGGAGUGAUAAAGAGCUUUUUUUUUUGCACGAAGAUAAGGAGUUUUGUUUAGUCAGUAUUAUAAAUCCUUGCCUUUUUAACGAACGGAAUCCUACUUGCUUAUUAGUUUAGCUUAUGACUAAUACGUAAACCAUCCUGAACAAACACAAGAACUAAUCGGACGUGACCUUGUAAGCGGCUAGUGGCUCCAUCGUCUCCACAUAGACGAAAGUAUGGUUCCGGCGGGCGAUGUAAUUACCCGCCACGGUGAUCAGCGUCCCCUGGUCCGUGUGGCUAACGCUCACAACGUCGGACGUCGAGUCGCCUGUACUCGGGUAGUGGCCGUAGAUCGACGAAUCCCUGAGCGUCAGGACGUACUUGCCGUACAAAAAAUUGGGCCGUGGGAUGCUCCGCUGGCUGAAUUUGUAGCGGCGAUUCCACCGCCGUCCCUUGUCCAGAACCCACACAUGAGUCGUCUCCAUGCCUAGAAGGUCACCGUCUCGGAUGGCAACGCCCAGACUCCCGUGCACCUUCGUCAGGUGGUAGCGGGCAGCCUCGUCGGAGCACGCUGGCAGCUGGGGCAGCUGCGCGGUGGAGGUGAUCCGCUCGUGGUCGAGGUCAAACGACACGACCCUCGGCGGAGCAUCACGCGUGACCCAGUACGUCGUGCCGUCAAUGCUGACGAUGCCCGGACCGAGGCGGCACCCCGCCCAGCCGUUGAUGCCGGUGAGCACCUUCCGCCAUGACGCCUCCCCCAGCGUGAGCACGUGCACGGCUUCCGGCUCAAACACCCGGUCGAAAAUGCAGGGGACGCGCAACAGCUUGUACCACCCGGACGUCGGAUGGUGCGCGAAGGUGUAAGUCUCGUUCCAGUUCCGCCAAUGAGAGCUCUCAGAGAAGAGGCCGGCGUACGGCAUCGGGGGAAGUGCCAGCGCCUCGCCGGUGGCCGGGUUGAACAGGGUGAGAGCGCCACCGAGCCUCUCCUGGUUGUUGCACAGGCAGAGGAGGCCAUUGCACGUGCCGACCAGCUGCAGGCCUCUCUCGUCGAUGUCGGCACUCCACAGCACUUUGGAGCUCCCUGUGGACGAUGAUGACAGGUCAUCGACAACAUAGGCGAUGGAGUCGUAGGGGUUCCAGAUGAGGGCCAUGGCGCGGCUCUGCAUCUCGGUUGUGCGCUCGCUGAUGAGGUCGCGCCAGAGCCGGCAGAUGAGGCGGAAUCGGCGCCGGGAGCUUGGGGGCAGCCGCAGCAGGAUCUCCACCAGGACGUCGGUGGAGAAGUCCCACCAUCUAGAGUCGCCAAUGGCCAUCGGCCGCGAGAGCUGUUUCUCCUCUUCUUCCGUUUCUCCCGUCUGCCCACCACGACGACGGGUUGACGUUGCCUAGUAGAUCCCCGUUGUCUUCAAUCAAUGAGAAAAAGGAAAGUAAAAAUAGUUCUCCGCCGCAGUUUAACCUGAUAGAGUCCAACCUGGCCACCACAAGUUCUUGGUUUAUUGAUAUCGUAUCUGGAACUUCCUUUAGUUGCUGUCAAAGAUGAACUUUGGAUGGAAUUGGAGACCAUGACGGUUACGGCAGACGUUUCAGGAAAACAAGCAUGCGCAGAAGGAUGAACUUCGGAUGGAAUUGGAGACCAUGACGAUUACGGCAGACGUUUCAGGAAAACAAGCAUGCACAGAAGUUUGGCUCGGGCUACAGUUUUGUAAAAUCUGGAUUAAUACUUGGUUAUACUUGUUACUUGUUUUCUCACAAAAAAAAUACUUGUCACUUGUUAUUUAUUGGGAAUGAACAAACACAAAAUUCCGGUAUGGAAUGCAGCUUAGUAAAAGGGAGCCAGAAUUUCACCGGUUUAAGAUUUUGAAAAUCCAACUAUGUAGUAUAUGGAAUUAGGGAUAGAAGUUCAUAACAUACACUGUCGUUUAUAGACCAGUUCAAAAUACAGCUAAACGAGUAAUUCAAGCUCUCUAUAAAUCGCAAGGACUUCAUGCAGACAGUAUUCAGUAUGGAAUUCUCGUACUUCUUCAACUCGAAUACCAAAAGGAAGAAAAAAUAUGACUAAGUGAUUUUAUAGUAGAGGCAUAUCCUGAAUGUGCUUGAUAGAUCCCAUUUUUUUCAUGAAAAUAAAGAUAGUCAAUUUGACUGGACUUAAGACUUUAUUAUGUUUUCUGAGAAAGAAUAAGAUAUCAUUAUUCUCUUUCAUAAACUUUUGUCUCGUACGGAAAAGGACACAAGGUGACCCUACUUUUUCAGGGUAAGAAGGGGUAAAGAAAAUGCCUCGAGCCGAGGUCCGAGUACCAAGCGCUGCAGCGCUGAAGUAUGAGCCCCGUGGACUAGCGAUUGCUUCUCCACGAGGCUCAUACCAGGCGCUACGGUGCUGAAGUAUGUAACUGAUGCCAUACUCCCAGGAAAAGCUCGAACGACCUUCAACAAAAGGGUACCUGUACCCGAAACCGACACAGGUGGGUAGGUAGAGAAUACCUAGGGGCGCGAGACAACUCUCUCUAAGGAACUCGACAAAAUAGCCCCGUAACUUCGGGAGAAGGGGUGCCCCCUCACAAAAGGGGGCCGCAGUGACCAGGCCCGGGCGACUGUUUACCAAAAACACAGGUCUCCGCAAAGUCGUAAGACCAUGUAUGGGGGCUGACGCCUGCCCAGUGCCGGAAGGUCAAGAAAGUUGGUGAACUGAUGACAGGGAAGCCGGCGACCAAAGCCCCGGUGAACGGCGGCCGUAACUAUAAUGGUCCUAAGGUAGCGAAAUUCCUUGUCGGGUAAGUUCCGACCCGCACGAAAGGCGUAACGAUCUGGGCACUGUCUCGGAGAGAGGCUCGGUGAAAACAAAUCCUGUGGAAUCAUAAUAUACUGAAAGCUCUUUUUGGAUAUAAAAGAGGGCUACAACAUACUCCCUCUGUCCCAAAAUAUCUGUCUCAUCAAUCUUAGUAUAAAUUUGUACUAAAGUUAUUACGAAGUUGAGACACUUAUUUUAGGACGGAGGGAGUAUUGCCAAAAACCAACGAAUGCUCUUUUUUGAACAUAAUGUUCUUAAUCGCCGGUGAGAGCAAACUUGUAUCACGCGCAUAAGUUUUAUUUUCUAGAAAAGAAAAUUCUGGUCAAAAUAGAUUGAGGAGCAAAGUGCACCAAAAAUGCACUUUGCUCCUUUACUUUAUCAUUCACUAGACCGACUUUUUGAUGGUUUGGAUUUUUGUUUUAGAAAUGGAUAGUAUUGAUUUAUGGUUGACAAGAAGGCUUUUGGCAUGUCCCUACAUGUUUUCAGGGAACCUUUUUUUUUUCUAGAAUACUUCCAGGGAACUAAAUGCCUACCUGGUUUAGCCUAUGUGGUGAAAUAACUAAAUUUUCAUGAACAAACAAACAUUCUAAUCAUACAAAUUAAAUUUUAUUGGCCUCAUAGACACUUAGUGGUUCGGUUGUUUCAACGUAGGCGAAUGUCCUAUACUGACUGUGGGAAUAGCCGCCCUUUAUCUCUGCAACCAGCGUCCCUUGAUCCCGGUGGCCGACUUGCACCACUUCGCCGGACAAUGAUGGGCCUUUCUUUCUGUAGUGACCAUACAAUGAUGACUCCUCUCGUGUGAGAACAUAUUCGCCGUACACGAAAUGCGGCCGUGGUAGGUUUUGUCGUCUGCCAGAGCCCUAGAUUGAUUCCGCCAAGGUUCCGCCUCGUGGCGGUGGAGUUUCGCCCCGUAAGCUUGCCCACGAUUUUUUCCAGGAUAAAGUGAUGAUAUAGCAGAAGAUGGACGCCGGAGGCCCACCAGGGGCCCCAGGAGAUAGGGGACCGCGCCCUACAGGGGGGCACCCUCCUGUCUCCUGGACAGGGUGUGGGCCCCCUGGCCUAUUUCUGUCGCCCAUAAAUUCUUAUUAAAUCCAAAAAGUUGUUUCGUGGAGUUUCAGGACAUUUGGAGUUGUGCAGAAUAGGUUUCCAACGUUUGCUGCUUUUCCAGCCAGAAUUCCAGCUACCGGCAUUCCCCCUCUUCAUGGUAAACCUUGUAAAAUAAGAGAGAAUAGCCAUAAGUAUUGAGAUAUAAUGUGUAAUAACAACCCAUAAUGCAAUAAAUAUUGAUAUAAAAGCAUGAUACAAAAUGGACGUAUCAAUACCCAUUCACCAACAUGAGCUUGAUGUCUUCGUUUUGUGUAGCUCCUUGAUGACUUGUCCUUCCUUUCCGAAUCCUUGCUUCUCUGGGAUGUUCUUCGUUCAUAACGAUCAUCUCUACUCCUUCUCUCUCUUAGUGAUGAUUCUUCUCUUCUACUUCUCCUCUUGGGUGUUUCUUCUCUUCUUUUGUGGGGUGCCAUACACUCAUUGGAAUAGUGUCCGGGUCUCCCACAAUUGGAGCAAUUGCGCUCUCGACUAGAAGAUCUUUUUUCAUUAUAGGACCUUGACUUGGAGCUUCUUUCUUUGCUUCUACUCUUGUAGAACUUGUUGAAGUUCUUCACCAUUAAGCUAAAUUCUUCAUUGAAGGUUUCUUUCUCACUUGAUGAUGUGGGGGCUUCACAUGAGGCUUUGUAAGUACCACUUGACUUGUUGUGAAGUUCCUCCUUAUCCUUGAGUGACAUCUCAUGAGCAACAAUUCUUCCAAUGACUUCCGUUGGCUUGAGAUCUUUGUAAUUUGGCAUCAUUUGGAUCAAUGUGCAUACGGUAUCAUAUUUUCCGUCCAAAGCUCUUAGGAUCUUCUUGAUGAUGAAUUUGUCGGUCAUCUCUUCACUUCCUAAGCCGGCAAUCUCAUUUGUGAUAAGAGCAAGCCUAGAGUACAUUUCAGCGACACCUUCACCAUCCUUCAUUUUGAACUUGUCAAGUUGACUUUGGAGCACAUCCAACUUGGAUUCCUUGAAGGAGUUGGUACCUUCGUGCAUAUCAAUUAAAGUGUCCCAAAUUUUGUUUGCAUUCUCAAGACGGCUGAUUUUGUUGAAUUUUUCGGGACACAGUCCGUUGAAGAGGAUAUCACAAGCUUGAGCGUUGUAUUGCAGCAUCUUCAACUCUUCCGUGCUGGCUUCACGGUUUGGUUUUCUCCCAUCAAAGAAUUCACCUUGCAAGCCAAUACACACAAUAGCCCAAACGGCGGGGUUAUGUUCAAGAAUAUGCAUUUUCAUCAAAGUACGGACCUCUAUAGUGAUAAUUUCCCUCGCUAGACGCCAUACUCUCCUAGGUUCUGAAACCAAUGCUAUGACCACCAAAAGCUCACUACAAGGAUACCUACUAUAAAGCAACAUAAUUUCUACAACAUUUUAACUAUAUGUUGCAAAAUUUUAAUAGAUACGCAUAUAAUCGAUGUACCAUAUGCGUUGCAGAUUUGUCAUGACCUAUACAUAUGGAAAACAGAGCAAAGGAGAGAGAGAGAGACGCAAAAAACAGAGCCCCCGAUUCCCCUCAUCUCUCCCAGAUCGCCGCCACCUCUCCCUCCUCCGAUCCACCUCGCCGCCGCCGGCCCUUCCCUUCCCCUCCCCUCAUCCCACCGCGCAGCUCCGGCGGCUGCUGGAUCCAUCGCAUCCCCCACCCACCCAUCCCUCUUGCGUCCCAUCUCUAGCUCCCUUCACGCGCCUCCUCGCGAUGCCGUCCCAUUCGACUAGAUCCGCUGCUCACGGCCACCCCCCUGCCAAGGGUUUCGGGCGUCGGCUCCGGCGCCGGUGGCCAGGUCGUCCUCCUCUAGUACUCCUCUCUUCCGGUGAGUGCAUCCCUUCCCCUGGAUUCAUCCUCUCUUUCUCUCCCCCUUCCUCUGACCUCUGUUUUUUCUCCUCUUGUAGACGUGCAGGGAGGAACAGGCUACGUGUGAACUCCAUGGUGACGUUACUGACGGUGGUGUCAAUGGACGAGAUGUGCCUCGGCGUCGACGAGCAUGCACUGAGGCGGGAAGUGGAAAAGGAAUACAUCGUCAAGCAAACUCAAUGGUACGGUGCUCGAGGUGGAGGACGUGGCUAACAUGGCGCUGUACGUGGAGUCGGACGAGGCUAGGUAUGUGACCAUGACUUGGACUUCGAACUAUCCCUGGGAGUUAAGGCUGAACCUUCUACCUGUGUGUCGCAUAACCACUACUAGACAUCUGAAUAUAUCUGCGACCUCACCCAAAAAGCAUCAAGAUAAUUGAUCAACCUGAAACUAUGGAUUUAGUAACCUCUUCGUUCUGUCAGUUUUCUUGAUUAUCUAUGUCUGCCUGCUGCUUAGAUUAAAAGCAUUUGUCUGGCAGUGGCGGAGCGUGGCAAGAAGUGAAGAAACCAAGAGGGGGCCAUUUUUUAAACAAAAUAUGCAUUACUAGGAGCAGUGUGAGCUGAUGGUUCAUUCUUGUUCAACACUGCUCACAAACAGAAGUAAACGAGUAUAUGGAGGUGUUAUUUUUCAACCGGAAGCAUGCUACUGACGUAUGCAAGAAAGAGACAAAUUAUUUCCAGCCAUAAUUCAAGAAAACCAAGACUGUAAAGGAGUAUAGAAUAAAAGCAUGCAAAAUGAGUACUUCGGAGUCAUGCGUUUUGCAUCAAGGCAUUGACACAGCUGACCCGCCGGCAGUGACAUGCCUCGUCGAUCAAAGGCAUUGUCACAGCGAACCACCCCGCAGAAAUGUCGAGCACGACGGGCACCACGUCGCGGCCUGAGGGAGAUUCUCAAUGUGUUGAUCUCGCUGCUGAAGGAGCAGAGACAAUUGGUGCAGCAUGAGGUCGCGGCCGCGACGACCCUGCGGCCCGCGCACACGAGGUCAAGGGCUCGAUGUAGAACUCAUUGCCGAUACUGGGGAGGCGCCGUCGCAGCACCAAUAGGUCCUGCAGCCUGCUACACGGUAUUGCUCUGGCCAUCUCCGGCCAUGGAUAUGCCAUCAAUUGCAGGUUUCCUGCUUGCUACGGUGCACUGCAGGUCAUCUUUGUUUCUCAUACCAAUGGUCACACUCACAGCCACCACAUUGCAACCCCUUUUGGCCUCCAUGAGGCUCGCCAGUGUCGUGUCGUAUCAUAGGGAAGGUUGCAUAUACGGACAACCCCCACAUGCACAACACCAGUCACUGCCUUAAACACAUGUCCAGAACUAAUGCCAAACAUGGAUAAAUCCAUAUCGUGAAUCAUAUGUUCUUAAACACCAGCCAUGCAUGUAAGGACAAGCCAUGUAAAUAGGAUUCAGUCAUAUUCUAAUAUGUUUUAUCUUUUUUAUAAUUGUAAUUUUUUGAUGUCAAUUAUUCUCUACUGUAGGUAGCUCUCAAACUGCGCAAAGUCAAGAUUGAUGCUAUGGUACCAUUAAUGAUUCCAGCAGAAGAUAUUUGCAACCUGAAGUGUUACACAAGGUUACUAUUGUGCCAAUGUGUCAUCAUGUGUUUCCAUGAUUUUUGCAAACCUUUAAUAUAUCCCCGGGUUCCUUUUCUUCUAUGCUGGAAUUGGUUUGGAAAAACUGUAUGCAACUACUGUCAUGAAAUUGUAUUGAGAAUUAUGCAAGGAGUGAGUCAUCAUUUCUUAAAUGGGGUUGCAGUUCUAGCUCUUUGAUACCACACAAUAUUGUGUCAUUUCUUGAUAUUAUUAUAACUUUAAUAUGAUCCAAACACACACAACUUCCUACAGAAAACUUACUAUGAAUUGUCUUUUGGCAAUGUUUAUGAAACGCAAAUGAAGUAAGAUGCCAGAAAUCAAUUGAAGAAAUUGAUGGAAAUUAGUAGAAAAUUAUCGUUCUAACAUUUCAAUAUUAGCAAACUGAUUCUAAUGAGAAUAGUAGAUUUGUAUAUGCAUACUGUUGGGUGAGGAUUCAUUCCUUAAGGCUGGCUUAGAAUUAUGUGCUAAUUAUAGUUUCUGUGUUAAUCCAUUCUCAUUCAUUAUAUACUUUUAAUGAUAACAGAGCGGCUUCUUUUAUAAAUUCUUAGUUACUCAUGUAUGCAGGUCAGCUUCAAGGCUAUGAAGCGAAAGAUCAGACAAAGGUUUUCGCCAUGUUUGUCCUUCAACUUAGUAACCGUACGUCUAGUUCUUUCCCCUAUGGUAGUUCUUUUAUUUGCACCGUACUUCUUGAAAGAUGAUAACUUGCAAUCAUUAUUGUAGAGUGGCCGUGCUUCUAUUUAUAUUCCUGAAAUAGGCUGAAAUUUCAUUUACAUCUCAAUAAUUUGUUUUGUUAAUAAAAUUGUUUGAUUAAUUAAGCAUUGCAAUUACAUGGUUUUAUCCUUAUUUUCCAUUGUAUCAUGUCUCCACUUGUACCUAAUAGGGAUCGUAGCUCUUGCUAUAGUUGUAAGUUGUGAUCCUAAAUGUAUAUUUUUUUGAUAUCAUGAUCCUAAAUGUAAACUUGAUGCUGAAAUUACAAAUGAAUUCUCGGCAGUGCAUGUUGAUAUGGCACUUGUGAAAACUGAAGAUUUGGUACAGAGUCAUAAGACGUGUAAUAUUCUCGGUAAUGUAGAAAAAACAAAGAUUGCAUUGCCUUUAACCUUUGUAUGUGACAUAUCCUGCCUAUAUCACUACUUGCAUCAUGUCAAUGCAUUCUAUGUUAACAAUUCAUUAUUUUCUCUAUAGAUUCAAAAGAUAUAUGGAUGAUUAUCUGGGUGUGUGGCAAGAAUACUGCAAUGAUGAUGACGGUGUUCUGGUUCAUGAUGAUGAUGAUGACGACGACAGACCCUUUUAGUUGUAGUUAAGUUGUAGGGAUGUUGUUCCUGUUGGAUAUGUUGGAUGAUGUUCCUGUUCCUUAGUUAAUUUUUUUGUUAAGUUGUAGGGAUGUUGAUGGAUGCUUUCGUUAAAGUUUUGAUGUCAAGAAAAUAUUUAGAUUGUGUAUCACAUUUGGAUGAAGUUCCUCAUGUAAUAUCCACUAUUGUAAUCCAACAGUUCUAUCCAAUAUAUGAUUUCGUCCCCUCGUGAGUAUAUUCCUUUUUUCCUCACUUGAUACAUAAUUAUUACCAUUAUGUGGAACAUUAAUUUAAUAGCUGGGAUUAUAGAUAUUCACAUUAUAUAUGUACUAGUUGCAAAUUCUUGUUGCCAAGCAAUGAGAUUUGGAUUCAUGUAUAUUAAGCACCAACAUAUAUAAGUGUUGUAAAUUUUGGUUUUAUGUGUUGUGCUCUUGCAACGGUUCAUGUUACCAACGAAAGUAUAAGUGUUGCAUUAUGUGCUAGCAACACUGGAUAAGGCUACGCAUCGCAAACCGUUGGUAAAGACACUAACAACGCAUAUAUGGACUUUUAGAUACGGAAAAAACCGUUGAUAUAGGGAUGGUCCUGUUGUAGUGGCUAUGGAAAUCAAAGCAAAUGGAGACCAAAGCUCUGAUACCACUUUUAGGAUCGAAAGUAUGACUACAGGGGGGGUGAUUAGACUACUUGACCAAAUAAAAACUUAUCCUUUUCCCAAUUUUAUUCUUUGGCAGAUUUUAGCUAUCUUAGCACAAGUCAAGCAAUCUUAACACAAUUCAAGCAAGCAUGCGAAGAGUAUAUGAGCAGCGGAAAGUAAAGCAUGCAACUUGCAAGAAUGUAAAGGGAAGAUUUUGGAGAAUUCAAACGCAAUUUGGAGACAUGGUGAUUUUUAAGCCGUGGUUCCGAUAGGUGGUGCUAUCGUACAUCCACGUUGAUGGAGACUUCAACCCACGAAGGGUAACGGUUGCGCGAGUCCACGGAGGGCUCCACCCACGAAGGGUCCACGAAGAAACAACCUUGUCUAUCCCACCAUGACCGUCGCCCGCGAAGGACUUGCCUCACUAGCGGUAGAUCUUCACGAAGUAGGCGAUCUCCUUGCCCUUACAAACUCCUUGGUUCAACUCCACAAUCAUGUCGGAGGCUCCCAAGUGACACCUAGCCAAGGAGACACCACUCUCCAAGAAGUAACAAAUGGUGUUUUGAUGAUGAACUCCUUUCUCUUGUGCUUCAAAUGAUAGUCUCUCCAACACUCAACUCUCUCUCACAGGAUUUGGAUUUAGUUGAAAGAAGAUUUGAGUGGAAAGCAACUUGGGAAAGGCUAGAGAUCAAGAUUCAUAUGGUAGGAAUGAAAUAUCUUGGCCUCAACACAUGAGUAGGUGGUUCCUUCUCAGAAACAACAAGUUGGAAGUGUAGGUUUGUUCUGAUGGCUCUCUCCAUGAAUGAAAAGGAGGUGGAGGGGUAUAUAUAGCCUCCACACAAAAUCUAACUGUUACACACAACUUGCCAAACUCGGUGGGACCGAAUUGGUAAACUCGGUCAGACCGAUUCAGCAAAUCUAGUGACCGUUAGGAUUUUCGGUGGGACCGACGUGCAACUCGGUAGGACCGAUAUGAUUAGGGUUAGGGCAUAACGUAAUCUCGGUGAGACCGAUUACACAAACUCGGUGAGACCGAUUUUGGUAAUAAGCUAACCAGAGAGUUGGUCAGGUAAACUCGGUGGGACCGGUUUGCUCAUUUCGGUGGGACCAAUAUGUUACGAAAAGGAAACAGGGAGUUUACAUUGCAAUCUCGGUGGGACCGAUCGCUCAUCUCGGUGGUACCGAAACGUUACGAAGGGAAACAGAGAGAUUACAACCCCAUCUCGGUGAGACCGAGAUCCCUAUCGGUGAGACCGAUUUGCCUAGGGUUUGUGGCAGUGGCUAUGACAUCUGAACUCGGUGGCGCCGGGUAGAAAGAAUCGGUAGGGACGAGUUUGACUGUUGGUUUAGGUCAUAUGUGGAUAUGAGAAAGUAGUUGGGAGUUUUGGAGCAUAUCACUAAGCACUGUGGAGCAAGAAACUCAUUAAGCAACACCUCAUCCCUCCUUGAUAGUAUUGGCUUUUUCUAUAGACUCAAUGUGAUCUUGGAUCACUAAAAUAUAAAAUGUAGAGUCUAGAGCUUUUGAGCUUGAGCCAAUCCUUUUCUCCUUAGCAUUUUGAAGGAUCCACUUAUCUCAUCCAUGCCAUUGCCAUUCAUUGAGCUUUUCCUGAAAUAUUUAUCUUGGAAUGAUGUUAGCUCAAUGAGCUAUAUGUUGUUAGGAAUUACCAAAACCACCUAGGGAUAGUUGCACUUUCAUCGAGGCCUCAUACCAUUGACAUGACACAUGACACGACAGAGAAUACACUUGGCAACUUAUUACAAAACACGAGGCCCACUACUCGCAUACUAACAACACCACAUAAGAGAAAGAAAAAGGCAAAAACAUAAAAUAUUGCUUAUCUGGUAUUUGACUGAUUUUCAGUUCAAUGCCAUUCAAUUUUCCCCCAUACAAAUAACACCACGUGGCACUAUCAAAGUUUAUUAUUUCAAAUUCAGCAUACAUCAUUUUUUUGCACCAUACAAAAAGGACACAUGGCACUAUAAAAUUAAAGACUACUUUACAUUAUUUCAAAAUCAAAACCUCGAUUACAACCUUUCUUGCUAUGAUUUACAUAUUUCAAACUUUGUAAAACAAAGUAUAAUGAACCGUUACUUGUUCCAAUCUUCCAGAUGAAGAUUUCACACCGAAAACACAGAGAAGUUUAGUCUACCUGGUAAAAAAAUGACCAUACGAGAUCAAGUCUAUUUGCUAAUCAAGUUAGAGCAACUCCAAUGGGGCGACCCAUUUCGUCCGCCGCCGUCCAUUUGGGUCGGCGCGGACACAAAAGGCGGCUCAACGUGCCGAUCCAAACAUACGCAUGUCCGCUUGGCGUCUGCAUGGCGACCCAUUUCCGGCACAUUUUUAGCCGGAUUUGCGUCCGCGCCGACACGAGAAGGACGCGCGUGCACGCCUACUUCUCUCCCCGGGCCCGCCGGUCGGUGGCAGCCACCACCAUUUCCCCCCAUUUCCCACCAAAACACUCCCGCCCGCUUGCGCUCGCUCCCGCCCCAACCAGUCAUGGACGACGCCAUCGACCUCGACGCCGCCGCCGGCCUCGCCUUCCUCGCCUCGCCCGGUGCCGCCGCCCCCAUCGGGAAAGGCAAGCCUCGUGCCCCGCGCAAUACGGUCGCCACGGCCAAGCUAAAGAAGGCGCUGACGCCCGAACAACGGGCACAUGAGUCGGCCAAGAGGAAGGGCCGGAGGCACGCCGCGGACGCGAGGGAUGAGGCCGCCGUCGUCGCCGCCGCGCAACAGGAGGUCACCAAUGCCCGCGUCGCGGCGGCAACGAGGGAGGCGCUCUACAUGCUAGGGUUAAACCCUAGCCAGCACGGCCUCGUCCAAGCCGCCGUCGCCGCGGCCAGCACCAGCUCGUCGACGUUUCCUCGGAUGGUGCUGCCCGACUCGCCCCGCGCGUCGGCUUGCAACACGAUUCCCGCCUUCCACGUCUACUCGCAGGCCUCCCGCCUCUCCGGGGAGUGCUCGCCCGAAGUGAGCGUGAUCGCGCCUUCCACGCUCGUGCCAGCGCCCAUCGACCUCAACUCCACCCCGGUGGCUGGUGGCUCAUCAUCGGGCGGCGCGCGGAACACGCGCGGCAGACGCCGACCAGCGUGCUCCCGGGCGCCCGCAACCUGUUUGACGAAAGGCCGUCCGCCGCCGACGAGGACUACAUGCAGAACCUCAUCUUCGAGGGCGGUGCACCGGCCGCUGGCUACGAUCCUGACGAGACACAAAGCCAGGACGGCCGCGAGGCGUCACGCCGGCCGCUGGCUAUGAUCCCGACCAGGCGGCCUUCAUGCGUGAUCAGGUCGGCAUCGACCUGGACGGCUUCCCCCUCGACCACGAGUUCCCGGACGACUAUGGGCUAGAGGAAGAGGACGAGUGCGACAUCGAUGUGGAGCCUUUGUUCGAGGGUGAGCUCGCCAACCAAGCCGCCGGUCCUAAGCCGAAGCGCAAGAGCAAGCGUACGAAGGCGUACACGGUGGUCGAGGACAAACUUCUUUGCGAGUGUUGGGGAGACAUUGGACAAGACCCCAAGACGGGCGCCGAGCAAAAGCAUUCAACCUGUUGGAUUCGUGUCCACCGAGAGUUUCAUGAGCGCAAGAAGUUUCCGCCUUACCAAUUUUUGAGCACGCGCGGGUGCGUCUCCAUUUCCAAGCGGUGGAGGGUGAUCCAACAAAAGUGCAACAAGUUUUGCGCCACUCUUGAGAGCGUCAAGGCCCGCCAUGUAAGCGGCAUCGGCAUGCAAGACAUGGUAUGCUAGCAAGCCGCCCUCUUUUGUGUCAUCAAGUUCAUCCUUUGCGUGUUCAUUUGCAUAUCACUUGUCCAUAUGCUUGCAUGAAAACAUUUUUGUAGGCAUUUCAAGCUUUGGAGGCAUUCAAGGUUCAACGCAAUGGCUAGUGCUUCAAUCUCUCCCAUUGCUAUCGGGUCAUCAAGGACCACGGGAGCCGUGAUGGUAUGGUCGAACUCAAGUCCUACCCUUUUUUAUGUGCUGCUAUGUGUGCCGGCCGGCUGGCGAGUGCGCCAGCAUGAACUGUGGUGAUAUUUUCUGAAGCCGAUAUUGUAUGCCGGCGCUGGCAUGGUGCCGGCAUGAGACAUGGCCGCUGGCAUGAUCGCCCGCGGGCCUUUUUUUAAAAAGUUGAAUGCGGACAUGAAAUGAGUCGGUGCGUUGGGCGCACUGCCGACCCAAAUGCAAAACUGGGCGGACGUCCGGCGGGCAGUCGACCCAAACGGACAAAAAACGGACAAAUGCGCUGUCUGUUUCGGUCGGCCCGUUGGAGUUGCUCUUAUACCCUUGUAAAAAGCUGACAUGUGUUUUGUGGGAGUCCUAAAGCAUUUCUUCCCUGCAAGCAUUGUUGUUCCAGUCACCUCGGUGUUCAGAUGAUGGCUCAGACCCCGCUGUCCGCUAGUGCGCGACCACACUGCAAUCUAAGGGCAGCAUCACUCGGCAUUGCAGCUAGGGCAAGUAGCCAAGUAGCUGUCUUCUCCUGUGUGGAGACAAUGAAAGACAUGGAGGAAGUGAAAAACCGCCGGUGAUGUGGAUCUGGCAAAUAUCUACACUUAAACAAGAAGCGAGGAGUGAGUUUUUGACCAUCUGUGUUGGCUCAGUAACACCUGCAUCUAGAGGAAGCGGCUAAUGGCGAUCCCCGAGGAGGACCGAGGAAGUGCGCGCGGCACCUGUCAACCAUCGCCGCUGAGGCAGUGACGCAGUAGUGUGGCUUUGCGAGCCCAGCAAAAAGUUUGAUGGGCCUCUUCAUGGAGUUGUGCUGGGUAUGAGCUUGUUUUUCAGGUGUGCCUAUGUCUCAUAGAAUUUUCUUCCCUACCUGAUAAUUAUCUUUCACCAGAAACUAUUUAGAGAACAAGGGAGAUUAUAUUGUCAUAUCAUUGAAAUUUACACUUCCUGAGUACAGAAUAACAUGUAUUGUAACUCUGUCACUUUGAAAUGUAAAAACAAUGCUAGGAUGCAAAUAUGCGUGAAAUGAAAGCGGUACCAAAAAACAAAGAAACAAAAUGAAACUAUAAUUCAACUACAAGUAAAAAUUACCAUCCACGCCACAGUCCAUUACCCAAGAUAAAUAAAGAAAGAAUUAGCUACCUAAAAACCUACUGGAAAAUGUAUUAACCAAAAUAUAAUAAGAAAUAAAGAAAAACAUAACAACUAACAUGCACAACAGGAAAAAAAUAGAAGAGUCAAAAAAUGAUUGAAGCCGAGAAGAAAACCAUUCGCCAGCAAUUAUGAAAAGAAAACGACACGCAAAGGGGCGUCUCAUCCUUCUAGAGAAAUAGUUUGUCGUGAAGAGACGAAUAUUUUCGUUAGGCAUUAAAUACUCCUACAAGCUUGAUGAUGUGAUCCAACCACAUGUAAACACACACCAUCUAAUCCGGUGGCCUCAUUAAGCCGCCGACAAACAAGCCGAGAGCACCAACCGGUCGAGUAGGCCCCCAGCGCGCACCGCAUGCACAUACUCUAGAAUUAGACGCCGUCAUCUUCCGCCAUCCCACCUUCAGGAUCGACCAACACAUUCAUCUUGCCAUGCCAUAUUGUUGUUCACGCCACUGCAAUGCCCGACAGCACCACUACCUGCGCAUGCAGUGGCGGAGACAGGACCCAGGCCGGGGGGGGGCCUGGGCCCGGGGCGUUAGGAAAAUUUCCUUCCUUGACUGAAGCAUGAUGUGCACUGUCUGACACUGUAGCUAAACUGUAGCAAGCCUGGGGCCCGGGUCUUGGCCCAAACGUGGCUCCGCCCCUGUGCGCAUGUCCAUCAACACGUGUCCGUCACCGAUGCUGUUGGAGUUGUGUCGAAUAUUGUGUACACGGUAGGUUACAGUUGGACUCUGAGCAGUAUUGUGUUUAGAUAGGAUAUGGAGUCGUGUCCUAGUAGGACACUUGUAUCCUAGGCCUCUCAUAUAUAGCAGGGGUAGACACAUGAUGUAACCUAUGCCAACAUAAUAGCACAGGCGCGCAAGGGGGAGCCGGCGGCAUGUGCCGGCGCCCGGGUGGCCGGUGUGCGGUAUUGUGGCGGUGUCACGGGGAGGAGCGCCCGUAAUCAUGCCCCGGGGAUGUAGCCAUAUCGGUGAACCUCGUUAACAAAUCUCGGUGUCGUGCUUGUGUGAUUGCUUGGUCCUCGGAUGAUCGACGGAGUGCCUCGGAUUUAUUCUAACAAGUGGUAUCACGAGCUAGGUUGUUCGGAGGCUGUGAAUUAUUGAUCUAGAGGAGAACACAUGGAAGUUGUCGAUGGGAUCUAACGAGAUGCAAUGAGUAUGAUUGGAGACAUGGCAGCAGAUGUUGUCGCGUCGGUGGAUCAAAGUUGCUCUUGAAGAUUUGGAAACGACGACAUCGUGUUUGAAAGAAGCACAAGGCGAUGCGCGCGUACGUAUGGCAGUCUCGGCGAUCUGUUUAGGGCGACGGCGGCGUAGCAGCAGGCUCGAACGGCGCGUUGCAGCAUGUGGCGUGGCAGCCGGCAGGAAACCCAAGCACCGCUGUGGUGGGCCAUCAUGGUCUUGUGCGGAGCAGCCCUUGACGAACAGUGGCCUGGCGUGCGCGUACUGGCGUACAUGGGCGUGGUGUAGUACGGUCAAAGCAAUUUAGUAACAGACAAUGAUUUGUUUGGAAACAAAAGGAGACCGAGUCCGAGUGGUAGAUGUGCAACGUAAGGCAGCCUAAUCAGAUCCAAAGGAAUUCCAUCAGGAGGACAAAGCAAGCUAGCAUUGAGAUUGAGUCAGGAGCUACACCACGGUUAGUCGUACAAAGAAUCUGGCGCCAGCGAAUACCAGGUUUGAGGUGGAGAAGUUUGACAGAACUGAAAACCUUGGGUUAUGACAGACAGCAGUGAAAAUUUGCUGACACAUCAAGGAUGCUUGAAGGCGUUGCGGGAUGUCAACCAGUUAAGAUGGAUGAUGAGGGUUGCGUGGAGUUGUAGAUGGUUGCAGUCAGAAAAAUCGGCUCGGGUCAGACACAUAGGGCAGUUGGCCUGGACAGUCUGACGGAUCGACACAAGUCGGUUGGUACAGAAGACGGUGCGGGAUCGGUGACGGCGACAUAGGAGCGUGAUGCUGAUGGUGACCGACUUCUGGGCGUGGAAACACGUGGCGCAGGCCCGAGGGUUUGUGUGACUUCGACAAGACUAUGAGGCGGGGUUGAUUCAAGAUGGUGCGUAGAUGAGAGCUUGAAGUCAACGGGGCGCGAGGGUGGACUGAUCAUCUACCAUAGGGUCAUGUUGAAGGUGGAGCUGGAUUGAGGGGCUACGGUGUAAGGAUCUAGAGAAUCGAAGCCUAUUUCAGCGGGAAAAAAGCGAGGGACACAUAAUUCAGACUGGAGCCCAAUGGUCUGAUGGAAGCGUGAAACUCGUCAUCGGUCGGUGUUGAUCGGUGGUACUCUGCAGUGGGGGUUGAGUGGUGUGGGUUUGCGACCCUUGAGACUCGACCGGGACAGCAGAGGCUCGACGCAGUAAUAGCGGCGAGGCGUGCGGUAUGCACGGGACAUGGAGACGGACCAGGGCUCUGGUGGUCAUACAUGUAGUGAGACAAUUGCGAAUUUGACUCGGGAUGACUACAAGCAACGGUGAAAUUUCUUCAUGUUUCAGACAGGCGGUCAAGAAAGGAGCGGUGAUGUUGAGUUCAGGUAACUCUUACGUGUGACACCCAAUAUGUGAGUUGUUUAUUUUCACGCAGGUCAGUGAUCAGUGUGUGAUGACGUUGGAUGGAUACUAUGGAAGUUGGGAGCACAAACUAGAGUAACAAGGUACUUAAUUUUGCUCGAGUGUUGACCUUGGUCAAGAAAAGAAGAGACUACAAGUUGCAGUGGAGUCGUAUGGAGUCUUUGGAGUAGCAGCGGAACUCACGGGAUAAGCUCAUGUCCAAUGUACAUGGAAGUUUGACGCAUUGACAAAUUCAAGGUGGUGGAGAAUAUUCGCCAAGGUGGAGUUUGUUGGAGUUGUGUCGAAUAUUGUGUACACGGUAGGUUACAGUUGGACUCUGAGCAGUAUUGUGUUUAGAUAGGAUAUGGAGUCGUGUCCUAGUAGGACACUUGUAUCCUAAGCCUCUCAUAUAUAGCGGGGGUAGACACACGAUGUUGAAAGAUAUGAAGCGUUCCUACUCCAUCGAGGGAGCCGCGUGGUAGUUUAUAUUGAUGCGUGGCCGAAGCCUGGCUUGACGUACAAGGUUAUGACAGAAGGAGUUUGGGUAGAAUACAAGAGAAGGAAGGAGGUUGAGAUUACAACUCUAUAUUCUAACACCCUCCCUUAAUCUCAACUAACCUAAGUUAAGAUUACUCUUGAAUUCUUCAAAUGGUCUUGCUGGUAGUGCUUUUGUAAAACCGUCAGCCACUUGAUCCUUAGAAGGAAUAAAUCGAAUCUCAAGUUUCCUUGCCGCAACCCUUUCUCGUACAAAGUGAAAAUCAAUUUCUAUGUGCUUUGUCCUGGCAUGAAACACUGGAUUUGCAGACAGAUAUGUUGCUCCCAAAUUAUCACACCAUAAACAUGAGAUACGAUUCUUCUUGAUUCCCAAUUCCUCAAGAAGUGAUUCAACCCAAAUGAUCUCAGCAGUUGCAUUAGCCAAAGACUUGUAUUCAGCUUCUGUACUUGAGCGUGACACAGUAGCUUGCUUUCUAGCAUUUCAAGAGAUAAGAUUAGAUCCAAAGAACACUGCAAAACCUCCAGUUGAUCUUCUGUCAUCACUACAUCCUGCCCAGUCAGCAUCAGAGAAUGCACUCACAAGAGAAGAAUUAGACCGUUUGAAAUGAAGUCCUAUUCCCAUAGUAUGUUUCACAUAUCUCACAAUCCUCUUGACAGCUGACCAAUGUGCAGAAGUAGGUGCAUGAAGAUAUUGACAAACCUUGUUGACAGCAAAUGAGAUAUCUGGACGUGUGAGAGUUAAAUAUUGUAGUGCUCCCACAGUACUCCUAUACCUUGUACUCUCCUCCUCUUGAAGUGGCUCACCCUCAUAUGCUGAGAGACUUUCUGAGGAGGAUAAAGGUGUAGACAUUGGCUUGCAAUUUUUCAUCCCCAUGCGAGACAGAAGCUCAAGAAUAUAUUUUUCCUGAUUUAAUACAAUACCAUCUUGAGUUUUCUUGACUUCAAUACCCAAGAAGAAAUGCAAAUCACCUAGGUCCUUCAAGGCAAACUCUGAGCUCAAAUCAUGCAAAAGAGCAUUAGUAGCAUUUUGUGAAGAACUUGCAACUAUGAUAUCAUCAACAUAUAUAAGCACAAAAAUGACUACUCCUGCCUUGUUAUAAAUAAACAAGGAUGUGUCAGCCUUGGAAGCAACAAAGCCAAGAUAUUUUAACUGUGAGCUCAAUCUGGAAUACCAUGCUCUGGGUGCUUGCUUUAGACCAUAGAGUGCUUUAUCAAGCUUGCAGACAUACUGUGGCAAUUUCUUACUCUCAUACCCAGGUGGUUGUCUCAUAAACACUUCCUCUUCCAGAACACCGUGCAGAAACGCAUUCUGUACAUCUAGCUGCCUUAAACUCCAUCCUCUGGAUACAACAAUGGCUAACACAAGUCUGAUAGUUGCAGCUUUCACAACGGGACUAAAGGUGUCCUCAUAGUCAAUGCCAUAACGUUGCUUAAAGCCCUUUGCAACUAGACGCGCCUUAUAUCUGUCAAUGGAGCCAUCUGCCUUCUUCUUAAUUCUAUACACCCAUUUGCAAUCAAUAAUAUUUUUACCUCUCUGAUUUGGUACAAGAUGCCAAGUCUUAUUCCUCAUGAGCGCAGAAUACUCCUCAUCCAUUGCCUUUUUCCAUUUAGGAUCAUCAAGUGCAUUCUUCAACGAUGUUGGUUCUCCUGAAAUACACAACAUUCCAUAUGGUAUAGUUCCAUCUUUCCUAAUUUUAGGAUUCCGUAUACCUUUCUGUAGCCGGGUCAUAACACGUGAAGAAACCUCUCGCUGCCCCGCUGGUAUACUUGCCACAGAAGAUCCAGGAGAAUCUGCUGAUGCAGUGGACUGAUUUGUCGUCAUAUGCGCAGGGGAUCCUGUGGCUUCUGGUGUGGCUGCCCCUCCUGCAGGCACUGGCGCAGAGGAUCCGCCACCCGACCACGACUGGAGGCGCGCGUGAUGCGGAGAGGAUCUGGUCCCGCCGCUGGUCCCGUCUGACACUGGCGCGCGGGGCGAGGGGGAUUCGGCCCCGCUGCUGGUCCCGCCUGAAGCUGACGCGGCAGCACGGGAGUGGCCCGCCCUGGAUCCAGGACUGGAGCCAUCAGGGGCUUGAUCCGAGGCGGAUGCGGUCGCGUGAUCCGAGAUCUGCGCGCGUGUAGGGGUGGCAGGCGCCGCCAGAUCUUCUUCGUCAUCUGUGCCAGCUUCGUCUCCUUCCUCAGCAUGAAAUAUAGGAUCAAAACCAGCCAUAUUUUUGAGAUCUUGGUCAUUUUGAGCACCGUUUUCUCCAGGGACCUGCACAGGCAUAAGAGAAAGACUAGUACCAGCAGGAAUAUCAUCACAUUGGUUAGUACAAUUGUUGUCGCCCCCAUGAUCAAAAGACCGAAGAUGUGAAGGAAGAAGAAGAAUUUCUUUGCGGAGAAGUGCACCAGCAUUAGGAUGAAGGGAUGCAAAGGGAAACACGGACUCAUCAAAUACAACAUCUCUGGAUAUAUACACCCGACCAGUAGGAACAUCAAGGCACUUAACCCCUUUAUGCAUGGGGCUAUAGCCUAAAAAGACACACCGUUUUGAGCGGAAAGCGAGUUUGCGUGUGUUGUAAGGCCUAAGAUUGGGCCAACAGGCACAACCAAAAAUACGAAGAGAUGUAUAGUUGGGUGUGACACCAAGAAGUCGUGUAAUGGGUGUUUCAAAUUUGAUAACUUUACUUGGAAGCAAGUUGAUGAGAUAUGUAGCAGUUAAGAAUGCUUCAUCCCAAAAUUUAAGCGGCAUGGAAGCAUUUGCUAACAAGGCAAGCCCCAUAUCAACUAUGUGACGGUGCUUUCUUUCAGCGGAUCCAUUUUGUUGGUGAGCAUGAGGACAAGAUACAUGGUGUGAUAUGCCAAGCUUUUGAAAGAAAGAAUUUAGUUUUUCAUACUCACCACCCCAGUCACUUUGCAUAGCAAUGAUUUUAGAUUUCAGUUUGCGUUCAACAAGAUUUUGGAAAUUGAGGAAAACUUGGAAUACAUCAGAUCGCUUUUUCAACAGAUAAAUCCAAGUAAAUUUACUAUAGUCAUCAAUAAAACUUACAUAAUAGGAAAAUCUACCAACUGAAAUAGGAGCUGGCCCCCAUACAUCUGAAAAGAUAAGUUGUAAAGGGGCAGUAGACACACUAGUAGAAAUUGGGUAAGGUAAUUGAUGACUUUUUGCUUGUUGACACGGAUCACAAACUAACUCACUACUAGGCUCAUAAGAGAGUUUAUUUUUGCUAAGAACAUAUCUAACUAUGACUGAAGAUGGAUGACCUAAACGACUAUGCCACCUUGAUGUAGAUAGCUUGGUGACAAUAUUUGCUUGUUUAUUGGACCAUGAAGAUGAAGAUGAUGAUGAUGAUAUGAGUGGGUAGAGUCCUCCCACGCACCGUCCUCUAAGAAUGACUCUCCUUGUUUUCAAGUCCUUAACCAAGAAAAAAUAAGGAUAGAACUCAAUAAGAACAUUGUUAUCAAGAGUGAAUCGAUGAACGGAAACAAGAUUUUUAGAGGUUUGAGGAACAUGCAAGACAUUGGUCAAGUGUAAUUUUUUCACGGGGGUUUUAACAAUUGAACCGCCAAUGUGUGUGAUAUCCAUACCAGAACCGCUUGCCGUGCGAAUUUGGUCGCCUCCAUUGUACUUCUCCCGCAUCGUCAACUUGUCAAGUUCACCUGUGAUGUGGUUUGUUGCUGCACUGUCGGCGUACCAGUUGGUGUCCACGCCAUAGGAGGCUGCAUGCGCUUGCUUUUCUUCCUGGUCGUUUUCUUCAUAACGCCACCAGCAAACUCGUGCACCUCCUGGAUGGUGUCUGUAGCAUAUCUGACAUUCUGGAUAGUCAUGCUGUUGCUCACGAGCCUGCUGUUGCUGUUGCUGUCGAGGACGGCCUCUGAAUCCGCCGCCUCCAUUGGAGGAAGACGACUGUUGGUCACCGCGGUCACCACGAUCACCACGGCCACGGCCUCUUCCUCCACGCCCGCGAGAUCUGCCACGGGACUGGCCACGGCCUCUGUAGACCGCAUUAGCGGAUGAAUAGAACCCGCCUGAAGAUGAGUCGCCUAGCAUCUCCAUCCUUUGAUCAAAGGCAGCAAUCUGGGCAAAAAGAUCGUCGGCUGUGAUGAUGUUUUUGACAGCGCCGAUCGCCGCCACCACGGGGUCGUAGUCGCGGUCCAGUCCGGCCAGAAUAUAGUCCACCAUCUCCGGAUCAGAUACGGGACGACCUGCAGCAGCUAGUUCAUCCCCAAGACAUUUCAUCUUCGCCAUAUACGCCGAGCUUGACAUCGAGCCCUUCUUGGUAUUGGUGAUGGCGAUUCUCAGAUUAGUAAUCCGAGACUGAGAUUGUGAGGCGAAGAGAUUUGUCACCGUCGUCCAGAGCUCAAAGGUGGAAUCUUUCCCAACAACUUGUGCAAGAAUUUCUGGAGACAUGGAAUUGAGAAGGUAUGAUAGAACCUGCUGAUCUUUGGCGAUCCAGGGUCCGUAUAGGGGAUUCGGCUCUAGGGCCGUGGUCUUGUCUGCCUUCGUGAUCUCCACCAUCUUGGGUGGAGCGGCAUCGGUGUUGUCCAGGAGCCCCAUCACCUGCGCACCUCGCAGGGCUGGGAGGACCUGCGUCUUCCAGAGGAUGAAAUUACCUCUUGCGAGCUUCUCAGACGGCGGUGAUCCAAGGUUGAGGGAGACGCCGGCGGAGGAAGCCAUGGAGACGAUGAUGUGUGGUUUCUAGGGUUUUGGAUUGUGGCUAGAUGUAUGAGAAGAGGUGGCUCUGAUACCAUGAAAGAUAUGAAGCGUUCCUACUCCAUCGAGGGAGCCGCGUGGUAGUUUAUAUUGAUGCGUGGCCGAAGCCUGGCUUGACGUACAAGGUUAUGACAGAAGGAGUUUGGGUAGAAUACAAGAGAAGGAAGGAGGUUGAGAUUACAACUCUAUAUUCUAACAGAUGUAACAUAUGCCAACAUAAUAGCACAGGCGCGCAAGGGGGAGCCGGCGGCAUGUGCCGGCGCCCGGAUGGCCGGUGUGCGGUAUUGUGACGGUGUCACGGGGAGGAGCGCCCGUAAUCAUGUCCCGGUGAUGUAGCCAUAUCAGUGAACCUCAUUAACAAAUCUCGGUGUCGUGCUUGUGUGAUUGCUUGGUCUUCAGAUGAUCGACGGAGUGCCUCGGAUUUAUUCUAACAGAUGCUACGUUGCACCAUGCCGCCGAGACUUUUCGUCGUAGCCACGGUGGAAGCAACAUUGCCAUGCAUCAUCUUCAUAACGCCACUUCUCAACAAAGGAUCUCCGCCACUCUGCGCCACUCUCCACCAUGUAAGAUCAGAGGAGAGUAAUUAGGAGGUACUCCCUCCGCCCUACUAAUAUAAGAGUGUUACUCUCCACCAUGUAAGAUCAGAGGAGAGUGAUUAGGAGGUACUCCCUCCGCCCUACUAAUAUCCCUACUAAUAUAAGAGUGUUUCUGACAUUACACUAGUGUAAAAAACGCUCUUAUAUUAUGAGACGGAGGGAGUAGAUGUUACCAGGCUCUCAUGGUAAAAUGAAGGGAAGAGUGAUUAGAGAGAACUCUACGCUGGUGUCCAUAGCGCAUUGGGACGUGCGCUCGCGAAAGUGUCUUUUUUGCGCUCGUAGUAUAUUUCCCGGUCCGUAACGCGAGGAUGGCUAGGAGAUUCGUCGCCAAAAAAGAGUCGUUUGGUCACUGGUGGUCGUAUCACGACACCUUGUUCCAAUACAAAAUUCAUUAACAUGUUUUUAUGUCAGGACCUCAAACGAAGGGGAAAAUUAUUGUUUGAAAUUAUGUACGACUAUUGGUUGGAAGUUGUUGCUCACUGCAGGCUUCGGUUUAAUUUAAUCCGGCGGCAUCUGCACGGAUUGUAUAGAUGGGAUCUAUAUCUAUCCCAAGAGCAAGAAGCUCCAGCUACCGGCUGACUCCCUCUCUCCACUGCGUGCUUACGACCGCUCUGCAGGCGGAGACUUAUUUUCCUGGUUAGUGCACUCUCCACACCUUACAUCUGCUUCUGCUUUAACAUAGUGCUGGUUAAUAGUAUGAUGCCAGAUCUGGAUUUACUGGUAGGUCUGCCCUUAAUCUGGACGCUGCCCAUGUUUUGCCUCUUCAUGCAUGGAUUUGAUUUGUGUAUCGGUUGGUCUACUGGUAGAUGUCAGUGCGGAGAAAAUCAGUAAAAAAUUCUAAUGAUGCUUAUGCUUGAAAUAUGUUAAGGAUACUGACUGGGAACAAAAUAUAUCAGAUCUGGUUUACAAGGAAAAAAAUGAAUAUCAGAUUUGAAUGCUCAUCGGAUCUGCAAAAUGUAUAUCAGAUUUGUUCAUGCAUGAAUUGGAUUUGUAGUAUGUCUUGAUAAAGUGAUGCAUAGUAGUACUGCACAUGCGGAAAUGGUCAUCGUUGUAAUAGAUAAACUUGAAUUCAUCUCAUUUUAAGAGCUCGUAAUAAAUACAGUAGAUGAUACUAGUAGAUCUGUAGACUUCUUGACUGUAUGUUUAACAAGUUCCUAAAUCUUGCUGACCAUUGUUUUGAAGUCCUGGAGGUCUAUAGAUCACGUGCAAUCUUCUUAUUGUUUUUUGGUUGUCCAAAAUCACAAGUGCAUUCUAAAGGUCUUACUCAUUUGAGUACACAUGCAGAUUGCAUCAUGUGGAUUGGACCUUAAUUUGAAACAUACUCUGUAUAUGAAGGGCCGAACUUGGCUGCCGUGAAAUUGAACUAGUACUCCCACUGAUCCGAAUUAAUUGACGCAGUGGCGGCGGCAAUUUAUUCGUAUCAGAUCGAGUACAAUUAUUCUAGUUAACCUUCCAAUUUAAUUCGGUCUGUUGCCCCUGUAUCAUCACGUGAUCUGCCGAUCUGCGCCUCCACUAACGCACAUCCAUUGAUAGGAGUGCACGUCUUCUCCAGGUUUGAGUCUCUAUAUCUACUUCCUUUAGAACCUCUUUUUGUUAAUAAGCUGCCUCAAGAACCUGAUGGUUCUGGUUUUUAUCAUCACAUGUUUGUGUUUAUGCUGUAUCAGCUUUAAUCUGCAGCCGUGGGCCUUCUGGAGGCAGUUCAGGCUAACAAGGAUCCACCAUUCAUUUUAUAUUUUUGAAAAAAAAGGCUUGCCCACGGCCUCUGCAUCGGAACGAUGCAGGAUCCAGGACCAUUCAUGAACGGCUUUCAGUCGUCUUGCGAUAUUCUUAAUAUCCCAACAGCGCCUUCUCUCCCCUCUCCUUUUCCUUCUGUAACCAGGGGAAGCAUUAACUUGGCCCAUUCAAGCAGUGUGUUUCCAAAACAUGUGCCACUCCAUUUAUUGGAGAAAAUGACAAAUGGUUUCUCUAAGGACCGGGAACUUGGUGCCGGUGCAUUUGGGACAGUUUACAAGGUACUCCCUCCGUUUCAAAAUAGAUGACUCAAUUUUAUACUAACUUUGGUAUAAAUUUAGUACAAAGUUGGGUCAUCUAUUUUGGAACGGAGGGAGUACGAUUUAAGAUGUAUACAUGGUUUACUGGCCCCGCACAUUCAUAGCAUUGUUACAUAAACCAUGCACAUGUGCGGUAUGUUGAGCAGGGGGUGCAUAAAAAUGGUGAAACGAUUGCUGUGAAGUUGCUUCAUUCCAUGCCUGGGCGUGAUAAUGAGAAUUUUGAGAAGGAGUUUCGCAACCUUACAAGUCUGCUGCACAAGAAUAUUGUGCGUUUAGUUGGCUUUUGCCAUGAGACUCAGAAAGAAUGUGUACUGCACAAUGAAAAAAUGAUUUUUGCUGAGAGGACACAUAUGGCGCUAUGCUUCGAGUAUAUGCAAAAUGGGGAUCUUGGCAGAUAUCUUUCUGGUAUUAUUAUGUUAUUCUUUUCUUGUACUAGUUUAACACUUGAAGUAGCAUAUUCGUAUUCUUGAAAUUUGCAUUUUGAAAGACUAUGUGUUCACUCCAACAGAUGAGUAUAGUGGGCAUGACUGGCCCACACGAUAUGCAAUAAUUAAGGGGAUCUGCGAGGGAUUGAAAUACCUUCACGAGGACUUGAAACCUCCUAUAUAUCAUUUGGAUUUAAAACCAGCUAAUAUAUUAUUGGAUGACAAAAUGGUGCCGAAGCUUGCAGAUUUUGGCUUGUCGAAGCUUUUUGGACAAGAACAAACGCGAGUCACAGAAAGCCGUACAGGAACACUGUAAGCACAAUUCUUUAACUUAAAAAAAAAUUCUUUAUGUGGUUUCAGAAUUUAUAAUACAAAUGCAAGCAGUUAUUUUUGCAUUUCAUGGUAUCACUAACAUAUAUGAUGUCUUAUAUAUGAAGUGGGUAUCUACCGCCAGAAUAUAUAGAUAGCGGUUUAAUAUCAAAUAAGCUGGACAUAUUCAGCCUCGGUGUUAUCAUCAUAAAGAUAAUAGCUGGACCUACAGGUUACACCCAAUGUGCUGAAAUGCCCUACGAGAAAUUUAUUGAGCAUGUAAAAAAAUUGCUAAAAAUUCCUGUUACCAUCUCAGUACUUGUUCCAGGAAGAAACUUUAUCAUUAUUUUAGUAUCUAUAUCCAUUAUAUAUUCUCAACUAACAGGUACAGGAAAAAUGGGGGCAUAUGUUACAAGAAUUAUCAGUGAAUGCACUGGAGGCAUACUCCGAACAAGUAAUGAGAUGCGUUAAAAUCGCUUUAAGUUGUGUGGAUAAAGAUCAUCACAAAAGGCCGACUAUAAGGGAUAUUAUUGAUAAGCUAAAUAAGAUGGAGACAAAAGGCCAAGGGUCGUCGACAGAUCAGGUAUGGUCACUAAUGACAUGCAUUCUUUUUUUGAUGCAGUUUACUCUGUUUGACAAAAUUGACUUUGCGCACCUGCUAAAACAUGAUGCCUCAAGAUAAUACAUUGAUGGCCAUAAGUGUUCUAUAACUUUGAUUAUUUCAUAAUGUGUCUUUUAAAUUUUUAUGAGAAUGUCCAGCUGUUAAAUCUUUCCUUAAUAAGAUGGCAACAUCUUUGUUUACUGUGUGCCAUAACAUGAGGGCUUGCAAAAGUUGAUGCAAAAUUGAAAAUAUAUGACUAUUUACAUCACAUAUCAAAACGACAAAAGACAUUUACCUAGUAUCAAAGUACUACAAUGAGUAAGAGCAAUUUUAACAUGCUCCCUCUUACCCCCUAUUAUCACAUGGGGUAUCUAAUGAGUAUAUACAUGCCCAACAUACCACUCACUAUCUUCAUCUUCAUCAAAAAGUAUGGGACCGGCGAUAGGUAAGUCUACACAAAUUUUAUUUUGGUAAACCAAUAUUCUAGGAUGUUGAAUUAACAUCCAAUAGUCGUUCUUCUUUCUUCUUCCUCCAGCUUUCUUCCUCCUCGAACCAUUCUUCCUCCAUUGCACUCCUUCGACUCGCCUCACGACCUCUCCUCUAGCCAGGACGGCAUGGCUUGCUACCGCUCGCCGUGCAUUCUCUGUCCUCCCACUUACUUCUUGAGUGCAAAAACUCUUUCUCGAUAAAGUGUUCAAUUUUUGUGACAGACACUUUUGUCUUUGAACCUUUUGGUCGAAGGAAUAUCCCAUUUAUGUGUAUGGGAUUGCCUACAAUUUUAGUAUUUGUCUGGAUUGUAUACUCGAUAACUCAUAUGGUGUUGUCUUGCCAAACUAUAAGAUGGUGCUCCGUUCGGUGUAUUGGUUACCGUUUUAGAUAUAUAUAUAUAUCCCCAAAUUUACUAGAGACAAAUCGGUAAGAAAUGAUUUCACAAUUAUCUGAAUGUUUUGCUAAACUCAUGACUUAGAUAAUGUUUCUCCAUGAUUGAAGAUCCAUUUAUCCUUGUCAUAAUGAUUCUUAUCUUUAUCACAAAUUUUAUUUGAACAUUUCAAAUAUUUCACUCUAAAUUUCUUUUGAACCUUUCAAAUAAUUCAGACUUAUAUCAAGUAAAUCAUAUUUACUCAAGUUUUUAUUUAAUGAAGUAUAAUUCACUUCGCCCGAGUUAGUCCAUCGAACCCCAUACAUCACUAUGUAUUUCAUCAAAUGAUUCAAAAUCAAAAUAUAUAAGUUAUGCUUCAUCUAUACGAAGAUUGUUUCUCCGAUAUAACCAAGCAGUGCCACAUAUAAGUGUGGUUCAUCAGUCUUCUUUAAGACAUUUAGCAUUAAUAUUAUAAAUUUCCCAAUUCAAGAUUUUAUGAAUAAAUCAUCAAUAAUAGAGGUAAAUCCGAAACCAUAUUCUUAUAACUUGAACAACAAUUGUUAAAAACUUCAUAACAAUACCCGUCGCAUAACCCAAUAUAUAUAUUGUUUUACACAACUUCUAGAAUGAAAUAACUAUUAUUCGAUCUAAUAUAAAUUUUGAAGAUAAACUAAAGGCAUGACUUCAAUGGUCUUUAGUAGUGAUCCCUCCCGAUAUGCAUCAAGACUUCAUUUCUUCUCAACUUGCGAGCUUUCCGUAGCCCUUGCAUCGGUUUGCAAAACUGAUUAGUAUCAAAUACUCAUGACAUACAAUAAGUCAACAAGUAGAAUAACAUUAACUUUGUAUAACUUUUAUAUCUUACUGGAAGAACCGUUCUUCUUAUCCGCCAAGUAUUUCUUGUAGUUGUGUUUCCAGUGCCCUUCUGUUUGCAGUAGAAACAUUCAGUCUCUUUAUUGGGCUUCGCCCUUGUUCUUCUUCUGAGAGAUGGUCUUACCGGCACCAGUAGAUUCCUUCUUGGACUCGCCCUUCUUCUUAAAACUGGCGGUCUUGUUGACCAUCAACACUUGUUUCUUUUUUUGCAUUCCAGCUUCCCCAGUUUUGAGCAUAGCGAAUAACUCGUUUGCACUUUUCUCCAUCCUGUUCAUGUUCUAAUUCAUGAUAAAACCAUCAUAAGAUGGGGGAAGUGAAGCAAGAACAAUAUAUGUAUCAAUUGUUAGAGGAAUUCCAGAGAAGCUAGUCUAUCAACAUAGCUGGCGAGCUUCACUAUAUGCUCACUCAUUGAGGAACCCUCUGCCAUCUUGCAUUCAAUCAGGACUUAGUUAUUUCAAAACAUUCGGUCCUUGCCUUCUUUUUGUACAGAACUUCCAAAGACCCAAUUAUGAACCGACACUACUAGGGAAAACCCUAGUAGUAGCGCGCGUUUUAACUCUAUCAGUAGUGCGGGUGGCCGCGCUACUAAUAAGGCGCCACAACUAACAGAUAGUAGUAGCGCUCUAUGUACACGCGCUACUAGUAUUGCCUGUAUCAGUAGCGGUUUCCCAACAUGUGCUACUAAUAAGUAGCUGUAGCGCUUUUCUUUGCCCGCGCUACUGUUGUAUCUUUCAAGAUUUUCCCAUGCUUCCCAUUGAUCUAGAAUAGUACCCUGUUUCAAUAAACUAUAAUUUCACAUAUACCAAAUAACAAUAUCAUUAACCACAAUACCAUAUAGUCAUACAGUAGUCAUACAAUAUUAUUAAGCAUUAUAGGUACUCAUAUAGAGUCAACAUGCAUCCUCACACACAUAUAUGGUUCAUACAGUAGCAUAUAUGAUAAGCAGUACUAGGUAGUCAUACAACAUAUAGCAGUCUACUAGGGGUAGUCAUACAGCCACACACAUAUGUAGUUCUAGAUGAUAUCAACGACGACCAUCAUCCUCAAGCCAUGGCGGUGGGUGUUCCUGAUAGUAAUUAGGAUGGCCUGUUCAACACGAAGAUUCUUGCCAACGAGGAAGUUCUUCCACCCAACUGAGUUGAAGUGUGUGCGACCGUCUGUGUCCACGCCGUACGCACAGGUGGUGACGAAGCCCUUGCGGUAAGGCGUAUUCCAGCAGAGCCUUCUUCAUCAGGCUCGAUACCACAACUCACAGAUAGGCUCUUUGGCAAUUUCUGAAUAAGAAAAACAUAUCAAUUAAUAAGUAGCCUCGCACAUACUCUUGCAAAUAUAUUUCUACUAAGUAUAGGUUUCUACACUAUCAAAAACAGUACUACAUUUCUACUAAGCUUGAAUUCUACUAAGUAAGCAUGUAAUCGGAUUGUACACUAAGUAUAACAUAUCAUAACAUGCCGACCAACCAUGGUAGUUGUCAGGCGGGUCACCAAUGGCACCCCGACAACGUCAGCACGUGGCGGAAUUAUGUCCCAUAGGUUGAACACCUCGUCCUCGCUCAGCCUUAUUCUUCGAGUAUAGAUGGCUUCAUCAAGUGGGUCCUCAUCAUCUUCAUCCGUGUUGAGAAUAAUGACAGCCAACUUGGAUCUUUCUGCUCUGAAGAAGAAGCUGAUCAACUCACCACCAGUGAUACCCAUGUGGGAGAUGAAACGGUUACAUCCAUAUCCUCCGAUCUGUGACAUAUUUCAUCCUUUCUCGACCUCCAUAGUGUAGGGCCCCUGAGGAGCCUCAAAGGUCACAGUGUCUCCGGUCAGCUUGUUGAAUUCCAACCUCACAUUGCAUGGGGCGAUCUGUGUAUACACAAUGAUACAAUGCAUUAAUGCCAAUAACACUAAAAACAAAAUAGUUCUUACAAGUUUCAUAUAUUUUGUUACCGCCGCAGGAAGAAAACUCAGCUGGAAGUAGAUGCCGAACAACGGGCCAGUUGCAAGGCUGCUGGUGCAUCUUGACUUGCACAGUCGACCUGGUGGUGCUGGUGUCUCCAUUUUCCUAAAGCAAUAUUACAAAAGGAUUAAUGAUCCACUUUAGAGGAAAGAUCCGGCAUGGCCUUUGCUAAAAAAAGGACAUAUCGAGCGCCUGAAAUUUGCCGAAAUGCAAAUUAAUCAACACUCCGGCAAAACAUAGGCCACUCAGAGUUGUUACCUGCAAACAUGACCACUUGGGCAAGCACAUAUCCUAUUUGAGAAACACUAGGUAUACAUGUUUAUAUCUACAUCAUAUGAGCAAUUCUUGAGCAACACUAAAUAAACUAGUUGUACUAAAAUAUCUACAUCAUCAUCUAUUCAAAAUGUUCUAUACCUAAAACAUCUACAUUAUCAUCCACUAUUACUAUUUCUUUUACUAAACCCUAAAAAUAUGCCCUAAGUUCACAAUAUAACAAGUACAGAACAUUUUUUCAAAUUCUACCAACUAAAAAUUUCCAUUACUAAAAUUAAUAAGUAGACGGUUGCAACACUGGGAAGAGCACCUUUUAAUCUUGAUUUUAACUAUGAGAGAUCGCCCUAAUAAUUGACUAUCGUGCAAUCAAAGGGUGCAAACAACAAAGGGAUAAACAUCUCAGGAAAUUCAUAGAAGCAUGAUAUGGUAUAGCCUUGGGUGUCGGGAAUGUUUCCAUGGUCCUCCGAGGCCUUCAUGAAGGUUUCUCUGAAAUUGUUGUCAUGGAAACAAUUUUAGAACUACCGCUGUGGCACCAUUUUUGUUCUCCUACGCCUGGUGAAGCUCCGGGUCCUCCGUGUAACCUGUAGGCUAUCUCUACGUCAAUUACAUUAAGGUGGCAAUCCCGUGGCUCUAGCCAUCAUGCGGCGAGAUGCAUGCCACUUAACAUUACAACAUAUAACCAUCUCAUACAUAAACUAAUUAUCAUGACAAAGGCUAUACCACAUCAUAUGCAAACCUGCAAAACCAAGUUAGACGUCCUCUAGUUGGUUUUGGAAAAUUUUAAUUACAUGGUUGCUAGGGUUUUCGGAUAACACUAACUACCUACGUGCACAAUCAAGGUGAUGAUUCUUGUUGCUAGAUUAACUUUCUGGGUGUGUGAAAGAAGAGACUUAAUGAAACAUCUCGUCCCCCACACUAAAAUUCAUCAAAUACGCGUGACCCCCUAGAAGAUUGCUCAUCUUCAUUACCCUCUUGCGUAUGCGGCGGUUCACUAUUCUUAACUAUGAUGAAGCCCAAGGAACUGUUAGCAGAUCGUCGACGGCCAGAGCCAAUCGAUUAUCUGAACCUUGUACAAAGCUACACCAUGUCGUCAAUGAACUGAACCAAAGCAACACUUGAGGGAAGCAUAGCUAGAACAUCAAAUCCUCACAUCCAUAUGUGAUCUAGAUUGAAACAUGCAUCUACCCAUUGAACCACUCAUGAUGCCACUGUUGGGAAACAUAGUAGAAAACAAAAACAAAAUCGCCCUACGAUCACCUAGGAACAAUAUGAAGAUGCAUAAAGGGUUUGGAUCAACGAUCGUUAAUGACUCCGGAGUUGCAGCGGAGUAAACGAGUCAGUGUAGAUCGUACUUGAAGUCCAACGAACUCUGGAUAACGAUUGCUACUUGCGAGAUGCAUUGGUAUUUCCUCGAAGAGGAGAGGAUGAUGCAAUAUAGUAGAGAUAUGUAUUUCUCUCAGUUAAGAACCAAUGUUAUCAAUCCAGUAGGAGAACCCCGCAACACUAUAUAAGGAGUACCUGCACAGAAGAUAACAAAUCCUUGCACCCAGCGCGAACAAGGGGUUGUUAAUCCCUCGGGGUUAACUGCAAGAUUAAAUUGUAUGAUGAUAGAUAGAUCACACAAAAAUAAAAACUGCAGCAAGGUAUUUUUGGAUUUUAAUAUAUGAUAAAAGUAGACCCCGGGGGGCAUAGUUUUCACUAGAGGCUUCUCUCGAGAAAAUAGCAUACAGUAGGUAAAUAAAUUUUUGUUGGGCAAUUGAUAAAAAAGAAAAUAAUCAUGACGAUAUCCAACGCAAUGAUCCUGUAUAUAAACAUCAUGCCCGAGACAAGUAGUCCGACUCCUGCCUGCAUCUACUACUAUCACUCCACACAUCGACCGCUAUCCAGCAUGCUUCUAGAGUAUUAAGUUCAUAAGAAGGGAGUAACGCCUUAAGCAACAUGCCAUGAUGUAGACAAGAUAAACUCACACAUGAAUAAACCCCAUCUUUUUACCCUUAAUAGCAACGAUACAUACGUGUCAUGUCCCUUUCUGUCACUGGGAUGGAGCACCGCAAGAUCAAACCCAUUACAUAGCAGCUCUUCCCAUUGCAGGAUAAAUCAAUCUAGUUGGCCAAACCAAAUCAAUAGAUCGGAGAAGAAAUAUGAAGUAAUAACAAUCAUGCAUCAAAGAGUUCAGAGAAAACUCAAAUAAUUUUCAUGGAUAAUCUGAUCAUAAACUCACAAUUCAUGGAUCCCAACAAACACACCACAAAAAAGAAUUACAUCAGAUAGAACUCCAAGAACAUCAAGGAGAACAUUGUAUUGAAGAACAUCGAGAGAGAAGAAGUCAUCUAACUACUAAUUAUGGACCCCGCAGGUCUGUGAUAAACUACUCACACAUCAUUGGAAGGGCAACAAGGUUGAUGUAGAGCCCUUACGUGAUCAAUUCCCCCUCCGGCGGAGGCCUCCAGAUGGGAUCUCACGAUAACAGAAACUUGCGGCAGUGGAAGAGGUAUUUUGGGCCCCCUUCGAUCUGAGGGGAAUAUUUGGGUAUUUAUAGUGGAAGAAUUAGGUCAAAACAUUGCUCGAGGUGCCCACAAGCUUGUCACUCCCUCGUGGGUCUUUUGGUAUUCCCUCGAACCUUCUAGGGUCUCUUCUGGUCCAAAAAAAAUUAAUCCAAUGUUUUUCUUUGUUUGGACCUUGUUUGAUAUUGAUUCCCUGAAAACUCAAAGAGAGACAAAAAAACAGCAACUCGCGCUGGGCACCAAGUUAUUAGGCUAGUCCCAAAAAAUGAUAUAAAGUUGCUUGUAAAUGAAUAUAAAACAUCCAAGGUUUGUACUAUAAUAACAUGGAACAAUAAAAAAAUUAUAGAUAUGUUGGAGACAUAUAAACGAUCCCACGAACCGCCCUCGAACGGUCCCUCAAACGGAAGAUUGAAAGCACGGCCUCUCUACUUGGUUGCAAGCAUACGGUCUUCAUGAUCCGACAACGCUUUGCAUCCAAAGCUAAUCAUCAUCAGAGAAUUAGAUGGAGGAUAUUAGAACCAGACUGGGCUUAAUUAUAUGAUUAGAGCAACUAGACCAAGUUCAAAUUAGUCAAACAGGACCAAUUAGAACUAGGGCUAGAUAAACUAGAGGAGGCUCCAGAACUUGUGUGUAGAAAAGGGCCAACACCCAAUGUAUAUAUAGGUUAGAGGGGAGGAGGGGCUGCCAAAAGGAGGGGAGGACUCCCCUUCCCUUGCGCCGGCCAAGGGGGGAAGGAGGAGUCCUCCCUCGAGUAGGAUUGGCGCCUCCCCACUUGGGCCCUUGUGGCCCAAGUUGCCUUCCACUUCUAGGCCUUUUAAGGCCCAUAGAUAUUUAAAUUAAUAUAAAAUCCUUCUAAUAAUUACUAGACCAUUUUAUAUAUAGUUUAACAUCACCGAAAACUUUUUUCACCUAUAUAUUAAUUAUCUGUAGUACCCGAUAUUACUAGAUAAAUUUUGAAACCCUUCUAAUGACCCCGAAAUGCCUCCGGUUCCUCUCAAAGCUAUUUCAAAUAUUAAUGAAACAAUUCCACACUCUCAUUCUACUAGCACUUAACAGAUCGUAAUUAACUUAAACUUGUGACCCUGUAGGUUCGAUAAAUCAUAGACAUGAACAGAAACCCUUCGUUCAAUGACUGAUAACGAAAUAGUGGACACCCAUAUUGAUCCCUAUGAUUACACGAAUGACAUUGGACUAAACCUUUGGUUAUAAUGUGAUGUUCCAUUUGCUUCACAGUACUUUAAAACACCAGGGAUGCAUCGGUAGCCUCCUGAGUCAUGCACAUGCUCACUAUAUCGUUGAUCUCGUUGUCGGUAUUGUUCUUCUCUCUCGUUUAAGUGUUCCGGCAUCCCUGUGACAGUCACCUGUGUCUAGCCCGACGAUGAUGGAUGCCGUCACACCGAGAGGGCCCUAAGAAUAUCUUUCCAUUGUCAGAGGAGUAAAUCCCACUCUCGAGCUAUCCAGUCAAUUGUCAAACUUUCCGAUGAAUCCGUAAGUUGUCGUUAUGAUCACCUAGUUACAGAUGAUGUUUGAGCAACCCCAAAGUCUACCAUAUGGUAGGAAGUGACUACGAUACUCUGAUGGUCUGAGGAACUAAAACACAUUCUAACACUCCAUGUUAUAACAAUUGAUUUCAGACGAUAUUAUCUCAAAGUAUAACAAAAAAGAUUGGGUCGAUUCAAUAUAUCGUUCUUCUAAUGUCAUACGCUCAAUGUUGUUUCAGGACUAUCAUUAUACUUAAUGAUAUCCUGAGAUCCGGAAAACAUGAUCACCAACAACACUUGAGCCAGUCUUAGAGGCAAGACCGAGAACCUAUAUUAUACCGUUUAUCAUUUCACACGUGUAUAUGAGUUUUCACUGAAUCGCACAUUCCUGAAUCAUAGCAGUUAUAGCAUGAAAUAUAAACUCUUAAUUAUGAAAAUGUAAAUAUAAUAAUGCAAUAUUAUUGCCUUUAGGACGUAUUUCCAACAAUAAAGGCUGGUAUAGACUUGGGUCGCUGCGCACUCGGGAGUUACAAAUCCGCGUCCAAUGAAGUUGCUUCUUUGUUUUUUGAAGUUUCUUCUUUGUAGUACUAAAGUUGGUAGAAUAGCACUAAAGUUACAUUUGAAAAAAAUCACCAAAACAUACACAUAUGAGAUCUAGUUUUCAAGAGGUAGCUACGAGGAAUACAUGAGUGAAAACAUAUCUUAAUUCCAAUGCUCGGUUCAAAAUUUGUGGGAUUUUGAAAUUUGAAAAAAAAACACCUAAUUGAAUGCACUUGGUGAUAGGAACUAUCCUUUUCCUAGCUGUUUUUUGCAUGGCACAGGCUCACAGCUUCAGGGACUUCUAAUGUUGAACUCAUUGUAUGCACUUUAUACUUUUAGGGUGUGUGAUCGGUGGGAAAGUAUCCGGUGAUAUCAAAUCUCAAAUGCUCCAUGAAAUCAAAUUAAUAAAAAAUUGAAAUUUAAACAUUUCAAAAUUUUCACAAAACAAUCACGGGUGUUCACAACACAUAUGUCGGCAACCACAAAAAAAUCAGAUCAAUAGUUGAAAUACACAUGGAAAAACAAAAAAGACAAAUCCAUAACGAAUAGUGUGAAAAGAAGACAAAAGCAAACACGACACUAUUCAAAUCUGAAUUUGUCUUUUUUUUCUCCGUGUGUAUUCUGUAUUUUGAUCUGAAGUUUUAGAGGUUGUUGACAUAUGUGUUGUGAACAUCAAUGAUCUUUUUCAGAAAUUUGGAGAUGUUUAAAUUUGAAUUUCUUAAGUUGAUAGCACGAGAGCAUGGGAGCAUGUGAUCGGUUGCAAUGUCCAAGCUAAUGUUUGGCGCGUAGAUGCGUUAUUAAUUCUAGUACUCCGAAGAUAGAGAAAAUUGUACUUUGCACCGUUUAUUUAGGUGGUGUUUGGUUCUCUAGUCCUAGGGCUUUUGCUAGUCCCUGGGACUUUUUGAAAAAGACUCUUAAGGAGGUGCUUCUAAGGACUUUUAGCAAAAAGUCUUAAAAAAGUCCCACUAUGUUUGGUUUGCUAGGGACUUUUUCUAGUCCCAACACAAAAAAGUCCCUGGAACCAAACACCCCUUUAGGCAGCUACAACGCUUCCCCGGCGUUUCAACUUUACCUUCCAGUUGCACCACAUGUUAAAAGUGUGAUUCUGAGAUUUUAAUUUUGCUCGAAUAUGUUUCAUCCUUGCAUAUUGAGAAUCAAAAUCCUAAAAGAUUGCCCAAAUUAACUUGUUAUUUCCUGUAGCUUCUGAUAUCCGCUUUUAAUAUCAUCUCCAGAUAGUUCCAGUGGAUAUAUGCUCGACAGGAGCACAAGCGUCACCACUUCUUGCUGCUAGCUACACCACACAAGAAACCACCAACACAAAGGGAGUUAGCAGACUGAGAGAGCAUGUACAGUACGCAAUGCGGGACCUGGUGAAUGGGUUAGCCAAGUCAGCAGUGAAGCGGGCGCUGAGCAAGGUCCAGUCGGUGGUCGAGGAGGAUGCAAAGCUGGCGCCACGCGCGCAGCAUGACCUUGUAUUCAUCACCGACGAGUUUCAAAUGAUGCAGUCCUUCCUUAAUGCUGCUGAUGAGAUGUGCGCCAGCAAUGUGGCUGUGAGGACCUGGCGUACGACCUAGAAGAAUGCAUCGUGUUCCACCUGGACACGACCAGCUGGUGGUCCCGCUUGUUCCGGACUUGCUCGCCGUUUCUGUCACUGGACAGGGCGACUUUUAAUACGGAAAUGUUAACGCCCACACGUGUGGGCAUUAGCCAACUCACCCACACGUCUCCAUCACCGUCCAGUAACUUCUGCACGAAUCUUGGCACGAAUUAGCUGAUUUUGUAUGCCACGUAGGACAACUCGCGUGUGUGGUGUGUGAGAAAGGUCGCCCACACAUUCGUUUUACCACACGGAGGGGCCGGUGUGUGGGCGUUCAGCAGUUCGCGCCACACGUCACUUUGCACGCACACACAAGGGCUAGUGUGUGGGCAUUUGCCAUCUCGCCCACACGCCCGUCUCCUCUCCCACACCCAAGCUGCUAGUUGCCAUGUGUUUUCACAGCGCACAUGGCAACUGCCCCUAGUGUGCUUUAUAAGCAGGUGGCAACUCUCUUUUUUUACCCGAGUGCCAUGUGUUUUUGCAGGGUACACGGCCACUGCCUAGUGUGCACGUAAGCAGAUGGCAACUCUCUUUUACCGAGUUGCCAUGUGUUUUUGCAUGGUACAUGGCAACUGCCCCAACGUGCACGUACAUGGCAACUGCCCUAACGUGCACGUAAGCAGAUGGCAACUCUUCCUUUUUACAUGGCAACUGCCCUAGCAUGCUUGUGAGCACAUGGCAACUCUCUCAACUGCCUAGUGUUAGUAUGUGGCAACUCCUAAAGUUAUGAAAUCAUGGCAACUACAUUAGAUCAGACCAUACAUGGCAACUGCAGUUGAGCAACCAUGGCAACUGCAGUUGUCCGACAUGGCAACCGUAGUUCAGCAACAUGGCAACUGCAGUUAAACGAACAUGAACGAGGGUCUGGACCAUGGCAACUGCGGGCGCGCGAUGGGCGUCACGCGUGGCGUGCGGGACCAGGAGGGUACGAGGCCUGACAUACGGGCGUGUGGGCGUUAUCAACUUCGCCCACACGGCGUGUGAGAGGGUUCAAGAGGAAAAAAAAGAGAUGUGUGGGCAUUAGUUGUUUUGCCCACACGUAGGUGUGUGAGCUGGUUGCUGUCCACGCCACACGAGGCGUGUGGCACAACUACCCGAUACACCACACGUGUGGCAGUUAUCGGGACCCUUUUAAUAUCAAGCAGUUAAAGGCGAGGGUCGAGGACGUGAGCCAGAGGAACUUGCGGUACAGACUCAUCACCGACUCUGGCUCCAAGCCCGUCCUCGCGAAGCAACAGCUGGGGCCCCACGCUGCUGUGGGAUAUGACACGAGAAGGCAACACGACUUAGGUGAUCUCACCCACCUUAUCACCAAGAAGGACGAUACUGACCUUCAAGUGAUUUCAUUGUGGGGGGCAGGCGAAGGUGUUGGGACGACAUCCAUCAUCAGAAAGUCCUACAGUGAUCCAGAGAUCAGCCACAGUUUCACAUGCCGAGCCUGGGUGAACCUCACGCGUCCAUUCAAUCCGCAUGAGUUUGUCCGGUCCUUGAUGGCUCACUUCUAUGCAAACAGUUGCCAAGAACGACAAGGAGCAAUCAUUGGUUUUUUUUUUUCGAAAAGGAGGAGAACCCCCGGCCUCUGCAUCUGGUCGAUGCAUACGGCCACUUUAUUAAUUAUUAGCACAAAACCUUACAAAGUCGUACAACAGUAAGACCAAAGCCACCAUCUUCGCAACCUCUGUCGCUACUCCUAUCUAACUGAUGAAGGGGCGCUGAUGGUCUGGGCCUAAUACCAAACAGACCUCGCAGCCAAACCUAACAUCUAAGACCUGAGGUCCCAACCUGGACGCCUGCCGGGUAUGGGCACCCACCAGUCCGGCAUGCUCCUCAACCCGGCCACCUGCCAGGUAUGAGGCCGCCACAGCCACCUGCCACCAAUCCAUCUUCAGAGCUAUACUGCUGCAUACACCUUGCCCGGUCUCGCUGCCGUCGACGCCACCAUGGCACCAGACAGCUCCACCGCCCUGGGCUCGUCCAUCCAGCCGCAUCCAUGAACGAUAUGUAGCCGCACCAUGCCGCCAAAAUCAUCGUCAUCGACGCGGAAGAUACAACGCCGCACCACCAGGCAACCUCUGCCCUGUCGCCACUGCUGGAGGUACUCGGAGCCCACCAUCCACAUAAUCUCUCCCCCGAACAGCUGGUCCUCCCAAGACGGCGCCUCCAUGGAGGAUACGACGUGCAGGUCGCCGCCGCCGCCCAAUCCAGAAUGAAUUUUGGACUUUCGUCCGGGAUAUGUUCGGAGGUGGAUAGGAGAGACCUCGGCUUCGCCUCCACAGAGGAUAGCGGCGUUGAGCGACGUCGCCGAUGCCGGGCCGGCCUAGCCGACCAAAGUUUCCUCCGGUCCCCAUCCUAUGCCACCAAUCCUCCGCCUGCUCCGGAUCCGGCGACAAGCCACGAUCCAAAACCUUGCGAAGAUGGAAGAUCCAUGGUGCUCGACCCACCGGAAAGGAGGAUCGAGAAGACCCCGUUGUAGAUCUCCAGACGCCAAAACCAGCAGUCCGACGUUGCCAGUGGCGACCAACCUCACCCCGCGGCGGCCGACGGAGUCCGAAGCCAGGAUCCAGAUGGAUCCGAUCCAGAUCCGGCGACACCCGCGACCACCGGGCAGUACCAACGCAGCCACCACCUCGCAACUCGCAGACCACCACCGACAUCGCCGGGAGACCCGCCGCCGCGCCGCCGAACCCCACGUUAGCCCGGCGCUCCCCUCGUCCCCACUGUCCCGUGCCAGCCAGAACGAGAUGGAUGGGAAAGGAGCCCCGCCGCCGCCCAGCCAGCCAGGCUUCGCCCGGCGGCGUUGCGGACGGCGGCGAGGAGGGAGAGGGGCGGAGGGAAGUGCGAGGGGCGGCGGCUAGGGUUUCCCCUCGGGUCGCCCGCGGGGACGACGCGAGGGGCACGAGGGUUGUCUGGUUUAGAAUUGAUGCCCCGACUAGUAUGGAUGCGAGUGCCAUCCAAGGCGACUUCCUCAGCGAGUUUGUUCAGCUAGUCGACAAGAACAGGUACCUAGUUGUCUUGGAAGGCUUGUCCACCAUGGCAGAGUGGGAUUCUGUCAGGACGUUCCUUCCCGACAGAAAGAAUGGCAGCUGGAUCAUUGUGUCCUCACAGCAGUACGAAAUUGCAAGUUUGUGUGUGGGACAUCCAUGCCGAGUAUUGGACCUUCCGGCCGAGUGUUAGAGAAUAUGUUUCCGUAGCAUCUCAAACUCCUUUCCUUCUCCUACUCAAACUCUUUGUAACCUUUCUUGUACUCCAAGCUUGGCUUCGGCCGCGUCAAUAUAAACAGAACCGUGGCUCCCCUCGAGGGAGUAGGGAACGCUCAUUAUCUUUCAUGGUAAUCAGAGCCACCUCUUCUCCUACAUCUAGCCACAAAUCAAAACCCUAGAACCACAUAUCAUCGUCUCCAUGGCUUCUUCGUCCGGCGUCGGCCUCAACCUCGGAUCGCCGCCAUCUGAGAAGCUAGCAAGAGGAAACUUCAUCCUCUGGAAGACCCAGGUGCUCCCAGCCCUGCGAGGUGCGCAGGUAACCGGGCUCCUGGACAACUCUGACGCCGCUCCACCCAAGACUGUGGAGGUCACGAAGGCGGACAAGACGACGACCCUCGAGCCGAACCCUCUGUACGGGCCCUGGAUCGCCAAAGACCAGCAGGUCCUGUCAUAUCUUCUCAAUUCCAUGUCUCCAGAAAUCCUUGCGCAAGUCGUCGGGAAGGACUCCACCUAUGAGCUCUGGACGACGGUGAACAAUCUCUUCGCCUCGCAAUCACAGUCCCGGAUCACCAAUCUAAGGAUCGCGAUCACCAACACCAAGAAGGGCACAAUGUCGAGCUCGGCGUAUAUGGCGAAGAUGAAGAGCCUUGGGGAUGAACUAGCUGCCGCUGGUCGUCCCAUCUCUGAUCCGGAGAUGGUGGACUACAUACUCGCAGGACUCGACCGCGACUACAACUCCGUGGUGGCGGCGAUCGGCGCUGUCAAGAACACAAUCACCGCCGAUGACCUCUUCGCUCAGAUCUCCGCCUUUGAUCAGAGGAUGGAGAUGCUGGGAGACUCGUCUUCAGGCGGGUUUCAUUCAUCUGCCAACACCGUCUACAGAGGCCGCGGCCAGUCCCGUGGCAGAUCCCGUGGGCGAGGAGGAAGAGGGCGCGGCCGCGGUGACCGCGGUGACCGCUAGCCUUCUCCUGCAAAUAGAGGCGGCGGAUUCAGAGGACGCCCUCGACAGCAACAGCAACAGCAGGUACGCGAGCAGCAGCAUGACUAUCUUGAGUGCCAGAUAUGCUAUAGACAUCAUCCAGGAGGUGCACGUGUCUGCUGGUGGCGCUAUGAAGAGAAUGAUCAAGAAGAGAAGGAGGCGCAUGCUGUCUCCUAUGGCGUGGACACUAAUUGGUACGCAGACAGUGCAGCAACAAAUCACAUCAUAGGUGAACUUGACAAGCUGACAGUACGGGAGAAAUACAACGGAGGCGACCAAAUUCGCACGGCAAGCGGUUCUGGUAUGAAUAUCACCCACAUUGGUAGUUCAAUUGUUCAAAACCCCAUGAAAAAUUUGCACCUUAAAGAUGUCUUGCAUGUUCCUCAAACUUCCAAAAAUCUUGUUUCUGUUCAUCGAUUCACCCUUGAUAAUAAUGUUCUUAUAGAAUUCUAUCCUUACUUUUUCUUGGUUAAGGAUUUGAGCACAAGGAGAAUCAUUCUUAGAGGACGGUGCGUGGGAGGCCUCUAUCCACUCAUAUCAUCAUCAUCAUCUUCGUGGUCCAAUAAACAAGCAAAUAUUGUCACCAAGCCAUCAUCAUCAAGGUGGCAUAGUCGAUUAGGUCAUCCAUCUUCAGUCAUAGUUAAAUAUGUUCUUAGCAAAAAUAAACUCUCUUAUGAGAAUAGUGUUGAGUCAGUUUGUGAUCCGUGUCAACAAGCAAAAAGUCAUCAAUUACCCUAUCCCAUCUCUACUAGUGUGUCCACUGCUCCUCUACAACUUAUAUUUUCAGAUGUAUGGGGGCCAGCCCCUACUUCAGUUGGGAGAUUUUCUUACUAUGUAAGCUUUAUUGAUGACUAUAGUAAAUUUACUUGGAUUUACUUGUUAAAGAAACGGUCUGAUGUAUUCCAAGUCUUCAUCAAUUUUCAAAACCUUGUUGAACGCAAACUGAACUCCAAGAUCAUUGCUAUGCAAAGUGACUGGGGUGGUGAGUAUGAAAAAUUGAACUCUUUCUUCCAAAAACUUGGUAUUUCACAUCAUGUUUCUUGCCCUCAUGCUCAUCAACAAAACGGGUCUGCUGAAAGAAAGCACCGUCACAUAGUUGAUAUGGGGCUAGCAUUGCUAGCAAAUGCAUCCAUGCCACUCAAAUUCUGGGAUGAAGCAUUCUUAACCGCUACAUAUCUUAUCAAUUUGCUUCCUAGUAAAGUCAUCAAAUUUGAAACACCCAUUACACGACUUCUCGGUGUCACACCCAACUACACAUCUCUUCGUGUUUUUGGUUGUGCAUGUUGGCCCAACCUCAGACCCUACAACACACGCAAACUCGCUUUUCGCUCCAAAAAGUGUGUCUUCUUAGGCUAUAGUCCCAUGCAUAAAGGAGUUAAAUGUCUAGAUGUUCCUACUGGUAGGGUCUACAUAUCCAGAGAUGUAGUUUUUGAUGAGUCUGUGUUCCCUUUUGCUUCCCUUCAUCCCAAUGCUGGUGCACUUCUCCGCAAGGAAAUCCUUCUUCUUCCUCCACAUCUUCGGUCUUUUGAUCAUGGGGGCGACAGUUGUACUAACCAAAGUGAUGAUAUUCCUGCUGGUAUUGGUUCUUCUCUGUUGCCUGUGCAGGUCCCUGGUGAAAACGGCGCUCAAAAUGAUCAAAAAUUCGAAAAUCAAGCUCAAGAUCAUCUUAUAUUUCAUGCUGAGGAAGGAGACGAACCUGGCACAGAUGACGAAGCUGAUCCGGCGGCGCUCGCAACUCCUGUUCGCGCGCAGACCUCGGAUCCUGCGGCCAAAUCAGCCUCGGAUCGCGCUCCCACCAACCGCAGCGCUGAUUCAGCAGCAGGCGGGACCAGCCGCGGGGUCGGCUGCGGGUCCGAAUCCGCCUCGCCCAGCGCGCGCCACUCCCACGCCGCCACCUCAGCAGCAGGCGGGACCAGCCGUGGGGCCAAAUCUCCCUCGCCCAGCGUGCGCCUGCAAUCGCGGUCGGGCGGUCGAUCCGUUGUGCCGGCUCGGGCGGCUGGCACCCGUGUGGUGGACACACAGGCGGCCACACCAACGGCUACAGGAUCCUCUGUGCAGGUGGCACCAGAUUCGCCUGUGUCAUCACAUGCAGCUUCCUCGGGAUCUUCUGCGGCGAGUGCUCCUGUGGUCCAGCCAGCAGUUCCUUCACGAGUUAUGACUCGAUUACAGAAAGGUAUACGAAAUCCUAAAAUAAGAAAAGAUGGGACUAUACCGUAUGGAAUGUUGUGUAUUUCAGGAGAACCAACAACAUUGAAUAGUGCACUUGAUGAUCCUAAGUGGAAGAAGGCAAUGGAUGAGGAAUAUUCUGCACUUAUGAGGACCAAGACAUGACAUCUUGUGCCAAAUCAGAAAGGUAAAAAUAUCAUCGAUUGCAAAUGGGUUUACAGAAUUAAAAAGAAGGCAGAUGGCUCCAUUGACAGGUACAAAGCACGUCUCGUUGCAAAGGGUUUUAAAAAACGUUAUGGUAUUGAUUAUGAGGACACUUUCAGUCCCGUUGUUAAAGCUGCAACUAUCAGACUUGUGCUAGCCAUUGCUGUAUCCAAGGGUUGGAGUCUACGACAGCUAGAUGUACAGAAUGCGUUUUUGCAUGGCAUUCUAGAAGAGGAAGUGUUUAUCAGACAACCACCUGGUUAUGAGGACAAGAAGUCACCACAUUAUGUUUGCAAGCUUGACAAGGCACUCUAUGGUUUAAAACAAGCACCCAGAGCAUGGUACUCCAGAUUGAGCUUACAGUUGAAAUAUCUUGGUUUCAUUGCCUCCAAAGCUGAUACAUCUUUGUUUAUCUAUAACAAGGCUGGAGUAGUCAUUUUUGUGCUUAUAUAUGUUGAUGAUAUCAUAGUUGCAAGUUCUUCACAAAAUGCUACUAAUGCACUUCUGCAUGAUUUGAGCUCAGAGUUUGCCUUGAAAGACCUAGGUGAUUUGCAUUUCUUCCUAGGCAUUGAGGUCAAGAAAACUCAAGAUGGAAUUGUGUUAAAUCAGGAGAAAUAUAUCUCUGAGCUUCUGUCUCGCAUGGGGAUGAAGAAUUGCAAGCCAGUUCCUACACCUUUGUCUUCCUCAGAAAAACUUUCAGCAUAUGAAGGUGUGCCACUUCAGGAGGAGGAAAGUACAAGGUAUAGGAGUACUGUGGGAGCAUUACAAUAUUUAACUCUCACACGUCCAGAUAUCUCAUUUGCUGUCAACAAGGUUUGUCAAUAUCUGCAUGCACCUACUUCUGCACAUUGGUCAGCUGUCAAGAGAAUUGUGAGAUAUGUAAAGCAUACUAUGGGAAUAGGACUCCAUUUCAAACGGUCUAAUUCCUCUCUUGUGAGUGCAUUCUCUGAUGCUGACUGGGCAGGAUGCAGUGAUGACAGAAGAUCAACUGGAGGCUUUGCAGUAUUUUUUGGGUCUAACCUUAUUUCUUGGAGUGCUAGAAAGCAAGCCACCGUGUCACGGUCAAGCACAGAAGCUGAAUAUAAGUCCUUGGCAAAUGCAACUGCAGAAAUCAUUUGGGUUGAAUCACUUCUUGAGGAAUUGGGAAUCAAGAAGAAUCAUAUCUCAUGUUUAUGGUGUGAUAACUUGGGAGCAACAUAUUUGUCUGUAAAUCCUGUGUUUCAUGCAAGGACAAAGCACAUCGAAAUUGAUUUUCACUUUGUGUGAGAAAGGGUUGCAGCCAAGAAACUUGAGGUACGGUUUAUUCCCUCCAAGGAUCAAGUAGCAGACGGCUUUACAAAGGCAUUGCCAUCAAGACCAUUUGAGGAGUUCAAGAGUAAUCUUAAUCUAGGAUAGUUAAGAUUAAGGGAGGGUGUUAGAGAAUAUGUUUCCGUAGCAUCUCAAACUCCUUUCCUUCUCCUACUCAAACUCCUUGUAAUCUUUCUUGUACUCCAAGCUUGGCUUCGGCCGCGUCAAUAUAAAUAGAACCGUGGUUCCCCUCGAGGGAGUAGGGAACGCUCAUUAUCUUUCACUGAGCACUCCGUUUGUGCCUUCUUGAGAGAGGUAACCUGAAAACCCCGUCGAUUACAUUAAAUUAAGUCAAGAACUAAAUUUGCUCCCUUGAUCCCUUCUCCAUUUCCUUUUUUCUCGUAGUCUUGGUUUUUUGUGUGGUUGAUUCUUCCACAUGCAGGCGCACACUAGAUUAGUAUAGGUUCUACAGAAGAGAAAAGUAUUUCUCCAUGCUGUGGUUAGCAUUAAGCAAAGUUUUUACUUUCAAUCAUCGGGUGGAGCCGCAUUGUUGCCGUGAGGUCACGGAACUUGAUCAUGCCGCGGUCGAGUCGUCGGGACUGCGCACGACAAGUGCCUGCAGCCGCGCUGUGGACUUCGCAUCAGUGGGAUAAGAUUGCCCAUAGUGAGAGUAACUUCAGCAGUAACAUAAGGUCCAACUCAGCAAAUUUGCUUAUGUGGCAAUAAUUUAAUGAGGAGAGAGAUUAUUUGAGUAACAUAGCUAGUUAUCCACACUAUGAGUAACAUCACACAUACUAAAACAAGAUGAGUCUAUAAACUAAUAAUAAAUAAAGUGUUUCAUGACACCACACAUAUGUUACUACCCAUUAUAGAUGUAAUUACAUAGAGUAGUAACAUAUGCGUGUUACUAGUCUAAGUUACUCCCCCACUAUGACCAGCCUAAGAAUUGCGAACCUAUUGAAUACAUGCGGGUUGGCAGGCAAAGACAACGGUGAGCAUGAGUAAUUGCCCCAGGCGUGACAGCGAAUCUGCUGCCGUGUUGUCCAGGUCGCUUCGGUACUUGAAGUAGAACUAGAGACCAUCCAUCUUGGCCAUGGCUUUGCACUGUAGGUUGGAGCCGAGGUGCUGUUUACCCAAUGUGCAAAGGCUCUUGUGAUCUUGACUCUUGAGGAUGGUGAACUCGCCACGCUGCAUGUAAAGGCGAUUAUCGACAAGAUACCCACAAGGUGGGGCUUCUCCCCCUUCGCCCCUCCCGCUCCCCCUAGCGGCAGGGCAAAACCCUAGCUGCCGCCCGCUGUCCCCUCCCAGCCUCUCUUCUCCCUCACCGUCGCCGGAGUGCGCGGCCAGGCAAAGCCUGGCUUGCGUGGGUAGCGAUGGGGUUCUCUCCUCUCCGGUCGGUGCAGCGCGACGUGGGACGCGAUGCCUUGUGACGGCUUGACGCUCAGCAUGUGGCGUGGCGGCAGCGAGGCCCGGACCCCUCUCCCAUCCCCACUUCGGAUGGCGUGGCCGCCGGAGGAGGAGGGGAGAGGAGCCUGGAGAACGUGGGAGACUCUCAAAGGAGGAGGAGAGAGAAAGAGAGGAGAGAAAUGAGAGCCCCUAAGACAGAUCGCUAAUCGUAAUGAUUUGUGAGAUAGAUCAUUUCAAAAAUUCAAAAAGCAAUUAAUGUGAUGAUGUCAGCAUGAUUUUAUAAGAUUAGUGCAUGCAUGCAUGUGCUCUCUAUAUAGGUUAAAUCCCAUUAGUAAAGGAGCAGCAUCAUAAGACAUGUUGCAACAUAGAUUUUCCCAAGAUUAAAAGAGAACUUCUACUUUGCAGCUACUGUUUGCUUGGUGCGUACCCUGCAAGAUCUGCGCUGGGCCAUCCUAAAAUAUCUAACGUUGAGCCAUAUCAGUCGCGCACAAUUUCACUCCUCUUAUGCAUCAACGCUAUGAGAAUCACUAGAUGUCAGCUGUUAUAUGAUCGUCCUAGGAGAACUAUCGCUGCCAUAGAACUACAGUAGUACUUUUAAACUACAGUUGCACCAUAAGAACCAUGAUACUAUUUUUUUUUCUGAUCCAUCUCCUUAAGAUUUGUGCACAGAAUUAAGAAAAUUUCUUCUCUUUGUCUAAUAACUGUAUCUUACUUCUAGGGUUCUCAAGACGCUGUAGAUAAAAGCGAGGUGAACAACGAUAGCUCGUGGACCAGCAACACAGAGAUAUCAACAGAGUAUGACCCGAGCCAUAACCAGAUGAAUGGCCAUUACUCUUACCACAGGAAACCCAACUCUAAAACGAAAGCAGCCAGGGACUGGAUGCAGAAUUCUCCCCUUGUUGGAUGCAGAUUGCAGACGAAUCAACUUCGUCACUAUACAGUUCAGGCGCAAAUGAACCAUUCCCAAGUUGUGUCUGUUUGGGGGAUGGCUGGCGUUGGAAAAUCAGCUCUUGUCAGAAACUUGUACUACGACAGGGUAAUUGAGAAUCAGCAAUUUCAAGAGUACGGUUGGGUUGGUUUAUCACACUCCCAAUCCUUUAAUUUGAGGGAUUUUUCACGGAGCUUGCUACUGGAUUUUCAAUCAGAAUCUCUUCAUAGUAUCGUGGGGCUCAAAGACGCUGUCGGAAAGUGUUGUGAGCUUCUAAGUACACGCCGGUGCCUUGUUGUCAUCGAUGGUCUUCAGUCCAUACACGAAUGGGAUUUGAUACAAUCUUCAUUGGUAUCUAGACACUCCAAAUCUAAAACAGUUUUCAUUGUGAUAACAACUGAAGCAAGUGUUGCAGCAUAUUGUGCAGAAAAUGAAGAGCUUGUGUUUCGUGUCAAAGCUCUAGAAGCUGAUGCAGCCUUUGAUCUAUUAAAAAAUGAGGUUUGUUUCCUCAUGAUCCACAUACUUUUCUCCAGCAUAGAGCAAAAGUAAUGCAACUAUAUUUUUGUUUUAAAGAAUAUAUCCCUCUCGGCUCCAGUACAGUAUUUUCAUGCAUGCACGGAUGUUCUUGCUAUCAUUUCCUCAUUUCUCUCGGGGACAUAAAAGAAUGACAUGUGAUUACCGUCCCAACUUUACUUAUUCCUUGCAAUAUCAUUAUUACUAUCUUGGAUGGAGAUGUCAUGAUGGUGAACAUAUUCCUUUCAUCGAAAUAUAACGUUUCCCAAAAGAAAUGUGAUCUGAAUAGGUUUUGGUUAUCGGUCGAAAUUUCAAGAUUUCCCAUGGUUACCGCGUAUUACCGUGCCCCUCGGUAAAUCGCCAUACCGAGCAAAAAAUACCAUUUUUUUUUGAAAUUUUUGAAUUUAAACACUUGAUUUACAGUAUAGUACGUAGGAUCUAAUUAAUGCCAUGAGAGUUGGUUCUGGCGUGUUGGUAGCAACCUAGUUCCUAUUUUGAGAGGUCUCUGGUUUGAAUAUUCGUUCAUUCACUUAUUUGAAUUUAAAAUUCAACUAUAAAUAUCGCUCGAAAUAUAAUCGGUAUUUCUCGGUAUUUCUUGGUAACCGUGGUAACCACAUUUACCAGUCCCCCUCGGUAAAAUUGCCUCAUUCGGUAACCAAAACCUUGGAUCUGAUAAGAUGACUCUCUUUUUUGAUAAAAGGGUGGAGAAUACCUCCGCUCUGUUAUGUUUAAAAAAUAUGUUUUCCUAUAAUAUGUUUAUGAAGUUCAAAUUUAUUUUGUGAUAUGUUGUGUUGGUCAAUUUGACAACAGAAGUGCUGUUGUAACAUUGCAAUUCUAUCUUCUUCAAAAUAAAAGACAUUAUAGUUUAAUCAUAUACUAGGAUCAUACAAGUGGCUAAAACUUAUUUUUUUUUCGAGACCAUGCCAUGCACAUACAAGCACAUUUUGGGCUUUGAUCAGUUUUGCCAUUGUGCCCCCACCUGUUAGCGGCACAUGAACAGUGAACCCAUGUGUCAAAACUCAAAACUCAAAACUGAGUAUUUUGCAGUCAGUGGCAAAAGUGAUAUUUCCUUUGAUCAUAGCAGCAAUGUUGGUAAAAAAACCAUUUUCCACAAUUGUUUUCUCAGUAUUUAUUACAGUGGGAUGCUUGUGCAAGCUUAAGUAAUGAUCAUAUUUUCCUAUUAUUUUCCUCUUGCACCCAUGCACCCAUGCACAAUAUACAUUUAUGUAAAAAUCCUAUGUAAUUGGUGCGGAUAACUGAGGUCAAUUGUCAAUUUGUUUGAACAACAGGUAUCUAAGAAGACUCCAUUACCCGUUUCAUUGUCUUAUCGUGGAAAUGAAGUGCUGCCAGAACUUAUUUCAAAGUGCGGGGGGCUUCCCUUAAUAAUAGUUGCUGUAGCCAGCAUAUUGGCUACCAAGGGAGGCACAUGGAUGGAUACUGCUAGUUCCAUCAAUCUAAGGUUUAUGCGUGAGAUAGAGAUCAACCCCGAGUUUGAGUGCCUAUGGGAUCUAUUUAGUUGGAUGCAUUCCUGCUUCCGUAGUUGCCCAGAUUCUGUCAAGCCAUGUAUCUUUGACCUAUCACUUUUUCCUCGAGACUACAACAUUCGGCGAAGGCGCCUAAUAAGGCGUUGGAUUGCUGAUGGCUACUCCCAGGACAGCGAUGGUAAAUCUUCUGAGGAGAAUGGGGAGGAGUUCUUCUCCAAGCUCCACAAUCUGAGCAUAAUCCAACAGCAACCAGAGUCAGCCACGUUUAGUGACAUAAGGAUGGUCUUGUGUCGAGUCAAUGGAUUUUUGCGCGAGUGCAUCUGCUCACAGGGAAUGCAGGAGAACCUUGUAUAUGAACUUGCCGGCACUUGCAGCCUCCCCCAACGCACUGGGCGUCAUCUUGUCAUAUUGGAAAGCUGGGGUAGGGAUAGGAUUGUGCUCGAGAGCAUUGACUUGUCAAGGCUGCGGUCAAUGACAGUGUUUGGGGAGUGGAAACCAUUCUUCAUCUCCCAGAGCACGAAGCUUCUCAGGGUGUUGGAUCUGGAGGAUGCAGUCGGUGUAACAAAUGAUGAUGUCGAGCAGAUGGUCAAGCUGUUGCCUUGCCUCAUGUUCCUCUCCCUACGAGGAUGCGACCAGAUCUUCCAGCUGCCUAGGUCAUUAGGUGAUCUGAGGCAGCUUCAGACUUUGGAUGUGACAAACACAUCCAUAAUCACUCUGCCAGCAUCCAUCACCAAACUACAAAAGCUCCAGUACAUUCGUGCCGGCGCUGCUGCAACCGCAUCACAGGGACCAACAGCAACCACAGGAAAUGACCAAACACCACAAGCUAUUGUGCCCGUGGUUUCCGGGUUUUUCAUACCUGACCAUCCUCUUCGUUGUGUUGUGCCCAGAGGGAUUGGGAAACUGACGGCAUUGCACACUCUAGGUGUUGUCAAUAUUGGUGCUUCAGAGGGGGAGGCCAUACUGAAAGAGCUAAAGAAUCUCACCCAAUUGCGCAAGUUGGGUGUGUUCGGCGUCAGCAGGAAAAAUAGUGAGGCGUUUUCCUCCGCAAUAUCAAGUCAUGUCCAUUUGAGAUCCUUGUCAGUGUGGCUCGAGGAAGAAAGCAGAGGUUGUUUAGGUGACAUGUCCCUGCCUUUGGAGAACUUACUAAGCCUUAAACUGUAUGGGCUUCGGGACAGGUUGCCAGUUCUACAGGUCAACCAGCUUAGCAAGCUCACAAAGUUACAUUUGAAGAUGAACACUUUAAUGGACGAGGCCAUAGAGUCCCUUGGCAAGCUACCAAAACUAUGCAUUCUACGCCUUUGUGUCAACCAACCUGAAUAUGGCCAGCUCCGUUUUCAUGUCUUUACGGAUGGACUUGAGGAGCUCUCUUAUCAGAAGGUGAAGGUCCUUGACAUUGCUUGCAGGUCCAGCGUACAUGUCAAUUUUGGAUCAGAAGCAAUGAAAAAACUAGAGCUGCUGACAGUUGAGUGCUACUAUGGGUCAUCGUAUCAGUUUUCUGGCCUGGGUCAUCUAUCUCAACUGAAGGAAGUCUGGCUGAAGGGUUCCUACGAGGAAGCACUGAAGGAACAACUGCAGGGCCAGCUUGCAUCCCAUCCAAUGGAACCUGUGCUGAAGCUGGAGGAGUAAAUACCACCUUCGUCGACCUGAUGGGUGCUAAUUAAGCUCUGGAUGGUUCACGCAUUUCCCCCUUUGACUUAUCAAUCAAAAAGCUUGGUACUUCUUCUAUUUCUGUUCCACAUCAUGGCAGUAAUUAAACACUGAAACAUAUUGGGUACUUCUUCUAUUUCUGUUCUGCAUCUUCAACAUAAAUGCCUUGCAAGUGGAUGUGUGAGUUUGUAUACAAGGAUUGGACCUGUGUAAUGGGUGCUAAGCUCUGGCCGAUUCAUGCAUUUCCCCCUUUCAAUCAAAAUGCUUGGUACUUCUUCUAUUUCUUUCUGCAUCAUGGUAGUAAACACUGAAAUUUAUUUGGUACUUCUUCUAUUUCUGUUAUGUAUCUUCAAAGUUUGUAUACCAGGAUUGGACCAAUGGGUAAUGUUGCUAUGUAACUCAACUUUGUGGAGAAUCUAUUAUAUAUGGCCUCCUUUUUCUUUCCGGCUGAUUGAGUAGUAGUAGCAGAUUUUUGCGUAAAUGGCACAACUUAUACCAUAUCAAUCCUGUGCACCCUCUUAUCACCUAGAAAUAAGUUAAUGGUUAUACCAAUACAGCCUAUAUAUCAGGGUUGUGACCUUUCAUCGCAAAGUUGAUCAAAG
rnacentral:lncRNA from 1 species